rnacentral:lncRNA from 1 species
ACAUUUCUCAUCUUUCUCAUUAUAUUUCCAUUUUCAAUUCAUUCUGAGCAAAUUACAAUAAACCUAUUUAACGACACUGACGAAAAUCUAAGAGUUGCUUGCAAAUCAAGUACCCAUGUAGAUUUAGGUGUAAAAAUAUUAAGACCUGACGAUUAUAUGACAUGGACCGGCGACAUAAAUGUUCCUGGAGAUAAUGAAAUUUGAUGGUGUCUACUAAAUACUCCCGGAAAUUUAAAGGGGGUUUUCGCUUUAUUUAACGCCAGCAGAGAUCAAACUAGAUGUGGACCGCAUGAGUGCUCCUGGACUGCGAGACAUGAUGGAAUCUAUUUUUAUCUUCCUGAUGAAUAUGGCAUGAGAUUACAGUUCCAUUGGGGAAAUUAGUUAUUAUAUGUAUGGAUUACAUUGUUUCUUUUGUGAUUCACCAUUUUCAGUUUUAAUUGAAAUUUUUGAUUGCAUUUACAUUAUUAUUGACCUAUCAAAUCUGUUAUCAAUUGAUUCCAACACUAUAUUUAUUUUAGAUAAAUAUUAAAACAAGGAGAGAAGAUUUGAUUGUUUUUAAAAGAGUAGGGCUAGGUGCACAUAAUUGUGUAUAUAAAAUAUGUACAUAAUGACAUGGCCCUUGGCGUGGAAGGUUUUAAUUGGGGUGGUUGAUGUGAAUACAGGAGGCCCGCUCCAAUUAAAAUCUUCCGAAUGUCAUUAUGUACAAAAUUUUGUGCACCAAGCAUUUUCCUUUUUAAAAUUCACUUUUCUUUUUAGGGAAAGGGAAAUAUUCGCUUAAAUGUGAAAAUGCAUAUAUAAACAAAAUUGAAGCAAAUUUAAUUACUUAAAAGUAUUAGUUUGGGCUAAUCAAUUUUUAUGACAUUUGAGUUUGAGUUUUAAAAUUUUAAAACUAAAAACUUUAAUUCAAUAUUAUUGAACUUUUCAAGUUAAUGUUAAUUUUAAAAAAAGUUAAAUAGCUAAUUCAUCACUAACCUAGCUGAAAACUUGCAACUGGGUCAUGUUUUUAAAAAAACUUUCAAACGCAUCAUCAAGUAAUUAAAAAAGUUUCAAAAGUAUCAUUUCCAUCAGUUCCGUUAUGUAAUUAACGGGAAGUUCAAAAAAAAUAAAGAAAAUACAAAAAACAAAAAAUCCGAAAAAAAAUUCAACAAAAUCCUGAUUUUUUUUAAUUUUUUUGAAAAAUGUGAAUAAAAUCAAAAAUAUCGGAAAGAAAAAGUGCCAACCUUUUUUUUUUGUCCUUUUCAAAAUUUUUAAAAUCCAAAAAAAUAAAAAAUUGUCACCCCCUAUAUGUCAUCACCCACCUAGAGUCCACUCUCACACCCACUCAAUCCACCCGGGCCCGUCAGGCCUGGACAGACUCUAGACAGUUUUAAAGAGCCAAACCUUGGCCCCACCAUGGUCCCACUAGGCCCGACCCGGCCUUACUAGGCCCCAUUUAGACCCCGUCUAGGCUCAUCUCGGGGUCCAUCCCCGGUCCCAAAAACCGCAUCAUUCUACUUAAUCGCAUUAGUUUUCAUUUAAUUUCUAUUCUAGUAGUUUAUAUUGGAGUAGGACCUUUUGUGUGUGUGUGUGUGUGUAUAGUCGUUCACACGUCACACUGGUUUAACACUAGUUUAAUGCUAGUAGUGAUAUAAAAACAAAAGUUUGUUACUCUUACUCUUAUUAAUGACUAUUAAAUUACUUGUUCUGUUUCGUAUAUGUCAUUCACUUUGUGACAUGUACUUCUAAAUCAUUUGAUCAUAUAAUUAAAUUUAUUAUUAUUUUUAAAAUAAUUCAAUAAAAAUUUAUAAUUCAGAAAAAUAAGAUUAUAAAUAAUAAAUUUAAUUAUGUCAUCAAUUUUUUUUAAAAUAUAUGUUUAAAAAGUCAAGUGAAUUAUAUUUCAAAACAGAAACAAUAUGUAAAAACCAACUAAUUUAGAGAUAUAUGGUGGUUAAUUGGUUAUUAGGUAAACAAUUAAUAAAUACUCAAAUAUCAAAAUUUAUUAUCAACAGUUAUGACUUUAUGAAUAAGCAAUCAAAACCACUAUAUAUUCGAAAACCAUACACAACAAGCUAGGCUACUCAAACGUGAUCACGAUCAUUAAAAAAAAAAAAACUACAAAUGGCUUCUUUUACUUGUCAAAUACUAGCACUACUUCUCAUUUUAUUCUUCACAUCUCCGUCCUCAGUCAGUUGUUUUCAAAUUCAAGUAAACUUAUCUAACGAUUUUUCUAAGGACAACCUUAACAGUUCUUGCCAUUCAGUUUCCGGCAGAGAUCUAGGUCAUAAAACAAUGAGCCCUGGUACGAGUUUCACAUGGGCAGCCAGUGAACUUUGGUGUUGUUCACUAUAUGAUUUUGAUAGCGACCGAGCUGGGGUUUACGCAAUGUUUAACCCCAAAACAGAUAGUACUAGAUGCGGUGAAGAAUGUCGCUGGAGUGUAAGAGAUGACGGGAUUUACCUUUAUAUUGCAGAUGCUUAUGAUUAUGUAUUUCAGCAUAAGUGGCAUAUAAUGUAUUGUAUUUAAUAAUAUCUUUUUUUAUUAGUGAGAGGAUUCCAAAGAGUGUGUAAUGAUCAAGUUAAUGAGCGUUCUGAUGUUAUAUGUUCACUGUUUUUAAAAUAAUCCUCGGAUAAUAUGAAAAAGACUAAUGAUGAAACAUAAAAAACACGAUAAAAACGCAUAACAAAAAUUGGACGCAAGAUAUUAGGGAAGUUAAAUGUGUGAAUUUCGGGUUUUGUUAUAAAAUUGCUUUAAAUUGUUUCGCUAUCAGUUUAAAAUUGUAGGUCUACUUUAAAAAAAAUUAAUUUUCAAUUUUGGGACACUCUCUAUAAUACACCUGUGUAAUUAGAUUUUUACGAUAAUAUCAUCAUAUUUUUUAUUUCUAUAUCUGAUGACCCUAUUACCCUGUAUUUAUGAUUUUUCACAUAUAAUAUAUACCCUCAUGUUAUGUGAAAUUUAAUAUAAUUUAUUUUAAAUUAUAAAAUAAAAUGAAUAUUUGAAAAAAAAUUACAUGAAAUAGACUUUUAAAUCAUAUAAAUCGGAGUCAAACUAAGUGAGAUAUAAAUGAUCAAAGGUCAGGAAUGAAGUUUAAAUAUAUCUCACUCUAUUUAACUCAAUUUAUAUGAUUCAAAGAUCUAUUUUAUGUAUUUUUUUUAAUAAGGAUUUCAAAUAUACAAUUUAUUUUACAAUCUUAAAUCAAUUCAAUUACAUAUUACAUAACAAGAGGGGAUAAUACGUGGAAAAACAUAAGUACAAAGUCACGAGAGAUAGAUAUCAAUAAUGUGAUUAUACCAUCGGGAAAAGUUAAUUUCACGAGUGUAUCAUAUAGAAUAUUUCUUUAAUUUUUGUUGAUAUUUUUAAUUUAUAGUCAUAUUUAUCUCAUUGAUCAAAUAUAAUGCGUGAGAUAGAGUUAUUCUUAUACAAAUUAGAAAUAUGUGAUAUGAAGUUAAUUUUGAAAACAAAAAUAAUGAAUUACGGAAUUUGAAGAGAAGAGCUUAUUUGAAAUAUUUCUUUUUUACAUAUAUUUAAAACGAAUAGAGUAUGUAUUAACUAACUACUUUAGGGACAUGAUUAAUGUUAUCAAUCCAAAAUUUUGUCUUCAAAUUAUUUAAUGAGAUGACUAGUUUUAAUUAGGUGGUUUAUGUCAAAUUAAUGAAACCAAUUAUAUAUUAUCAAAUAAAUUUGGAAAAAAAAUCGAAAAUAAUUUUUUGAAUACCUAAAAUUUUCCUAGAGAUAUAUAUAUGCAUGGUCUAAUAAUCCUAUGGAUAUAUGGUGGUUAUUAGUUACACAAUUAAUGAAUACUCCAAUACCAAAAUUUAUUAUCGACAGUCACGAGUAAGCAAUCAAAGCCACUAUAUAUUCGAUAACCAUACACAACAAGCUAGGCUACUCAGACGUGAUCAUGAUCAUAAAAAAAACACUACAAAUGGCUCCUCCUACUUGUCAAAUACUUGCAAUACUUCUCAUUUUAUUCUUCACAUCUCCGUCCUCAGUGAGUUGUGUUCAAAUUCAAGUAAACCUAUCUAACGACUUUACUAAAGACAAUCUAAACAGUUCUUGCCAUUCAAUUACAGGCAGAGAUCUAGGUAAAAGAACAAUGAGCCCUGGUACGAGUUUCACAUGGACAACCAGCGAAGCUUGGUGUUGUUCACUGGAGACAGAUUUUGAUAGCGAACGAUAUGGCCUUUUUUACAUGUUUAAUCCCAAAACAGAUAGCACUAGGUGUGGUAAAGAGUGUCGCUGGAGUGUAAGAGAUGACGGGAUUUAUCUUUAUAUUGCAGAUGCUUAUGAUUAUGUAUUUCAGUAUAAGUGGGGGAUAUGGUAUUGUAUUUAAGGAUGGGAGAAUAUAAUAUAAUUUUUUUUAUUAGUGAGAGGAUUCCAAAGAGUGUAUGAUGAUCAAGUUUAUGAGCGUUCUGUUGUUAUAUGCUCACUGUUGUUAAAAUAAUCCUGUUGUUUAAUCAGAUAAUACGAAAAAGACUUAAUAAUGAAACAUAAAAAACACGAUCAAAAACACAUCACAAAAAUUGGACGCAACAUAUUAGGGAAGUCAAAUGUGUGAAUUUUGUGUUUUGAUAUAAAAUUGUUUUAAAUUGUUUCACUAUCAGUUAAAAAUUGUAGGUCCUCCUUUUAAAAAAUUAAAUUCCAAUUUUGGGAUACUUUCUCUUAUAUACUGGAAUUGGAUUAUCCCGAUGGUACCAUCACAUUUUUACUUGAUAAUUUUAUAUUUAUGAUUUUUUCAAAGUAGACAUGUAUUUUGAAAUGGAUGGAGUAUUUUUAUUUGUGGGGAAAUAUAUAUGAAACAUAUGUGGUAAUUAUUAUAAAUUAAUUAGCAUUUAUUACACAUCUAAUUAUUACAUUAUUAACACGUGUUAAUAUCCACUUUUUUAGCUUUUAAACUCAUUUAAUGUUAGUCAUCAUUCUACGAGUAGACUGUGUACUAAUCUCUCAAAUGAUUUCUUUGGCACGUUUUGGUCGAAGAAGAUAUAUGAGAUUGUAAUAAUGGUGGGAUUCUUUGUAUGUACAUCAACCCCUCUAUUAAAAUCAGUCACAUAUUAUGUAAUUUAAAAAAAAAUUGAAAAAAAUUUGUGGGUACUCUUAAAAGAACUAUACUAUAGUUAAUACUUAAUAAUAUGAAUGACGGUUUCAAAAAAUCUUUUAAAACAAAUAUAAUUUUCCCAUGUAUUAAUUGCGUAUUAGUCAGAUUUUGUAUUGAAAUUAAUAAGAUACUAUUAAAAUCAAAACAAUUAAUGCAGGUGAAGAUAAAAACUUUGAAGAUAUUAGAAUUUUUUUAUUAUACAUAAUCUUUUCAAUAACGACUUCAAAUAUGGGAUAGAGAAAAUAUUAUUAUGCGAUUUAUAUAUGUUAAAUACAUAAGAGGUUUUUGUCGGAUACCAUUGAUAGAAUUAAGGGACUAACCAAGCAAGAGUACUACUAAUAACUUUCUUUUUUUUAAGGGUUUGUCAUAGUGUGUGCUCUUGGGCACAUGCUAAACGCGAAAAUUUAUAUGUUUGGGAGUUUUUGAUUGGAGUGGUGGUUGUAUAUGCAGGGGGGUCCACCAUUAUUAAGAUAUGAGAGCCAAUAAAAAUUAGUCAAACAUAUAAAAUUCCGCGCUUAGCAUGUGCCUAUGCGCACACACUAGAAAAACCGUUUUUUUAAACAAAGAGUACUACUAUAAUAACUUUAAUGAAAAAAAAUAAAUGAAUGAAUGAUUUAAAACAUUAAAUGACAUUGAAAUCAAGAAAAUAGUGGUUGUUAGUUUAAAUCCACGAACAUUGAAAUUAGAAAAACCGCAUAGCUAUAUAAACACAAUGGCACUAGUUGUGAUACCAUACAAAAAAAAAUGACUUCUUUUAUUCAAAUUUUGACAGCACUUCUCAUUAUAUUCACUACAUCUUCAUUUGCAGAUGAUCACCGACAAAUACCGGUGAUUUUAGUCAACGAUAUUAUAAAUCAAGAUCUUACAACUCAUUGCAAAUCUAAUGAUGGCUCCGAUUUGGGUGUAAUAGACAUUGAGUACGGUAAAUCUCUUUCAUGGAUCGGUAACAUUGUUCCGGGAGUACGCGAAAUUUACUUUUGUGACUUGCAUACUCCUUCACAUUUAGAAGGACUUUUUACUUUGUUUUUUAGCACUAGAGAUGGUAGUAGAUGUCGUGAACAUUGCAAGUGGAGUGCCAGACAAGAUGGUAUAUAUCUUUAUAUACCAGAUAUUGGUGAUUACGAAUUACAAUUCAAAUGGUGGUAAUAAAUUCUAGUUUAAUAAUAUAAUAUCCAUGACCCAUAAUGUUUUCAUACACACACAAUUAGUUUCACGUUAUGAUCAUUUAUUUUUGUAAUAAUUUAUUUAUGAAAACUAAAACAUAUCUCGAAUGUAUUUUAUUAUUUUAAAUAACUACUCGAACAAGGAUUAACCUCUCAAAAUUGAGAUGAAAAAAAAAGACUUCAGAAUAAUAUAAAUAACUAUAAACAAUUAUGAUUAUCUUUGGAAAAAAUAUAUAAUUAUUAGUAUUAUUGAACAAGUUAGCUGUGCAUUUCAAGAAUGGGAAUUUCAUUGGCCUACUGGCCUUAUUCAGUUGGGCCCAGUAGACUUAUUCAAUUGGGCUUACUUGGCUUAAAAAACCUUCAAGAUGUCGUUACUUUAUUCGGGGUGUAUUCGAUUGGGAUUUUAAUGGAUUGUUUUUAGUCUAUGGAUUUUAAUGGAUUGUAUGAGAUUUUGAUUUUGUGCGGAUCUUGAUAAAAUGUCGCAGAGUUGAUGGGAUUUAGGUACAAUGCUUCAAAAUCCCAUUGAUUUUGAUGGGAUUUCAAAAAACUUAAAAUACACUGAAGAAUGCCACAAAAUCCAUCAUUUUAUGAAAUGAAAAAAAAUCCAUCAGCAUUUGAAUACCAUCAGAUUUUAAUGGAUUUUAAACAAUCCCAAUUGAAUACCAUCGGAUUUUAAAGCAUAAUUUAAAAUCCCAAUUGAAUACCACCAGAUUUUGUAACAUAAUUUAAAAUCCCAAUUGAAUACCUCAAGAUUUUAAUGGAUUUCAAACAAUCCCAAUCGAAUACCCUCGGAUUUCAUGAAUGCAAAAAAAUCUUUAAAAUCUCAAUCCAAUACACCCCUCUCAGAUUACAAAAACCUGAAUAAAACUAAACAAUUCAUCAAAUUCAUAUGAACAAACAUCAAUUUUUUAGUGCCAUCAUUUCUAAGAAAAUUUAUGAAACCUUAAUUGAAUAUUAAACACUUGCUUUAUUUGAAUAUAUUAUAUUUUAAUGGAUUAUAUAAAAUUCAAACUAAAUAGACUUGAUAUAAUGAAGUCUAAAGAUAUUAUUUUAAUAUUUUUUAUCUAUAUUUGUUGGUGAAUCAUCAAUAUUCAUUAUAUACAUAUCUAUAAACUGCGUAAACUCUUCAAACGCAAUUUGUAUCAUACAAAGAAAAUCAUGAUUUCUUUUAUCGAUCAAACUUUUUUUAUCGAUCAAAACAUAAUAAUAUUUCUUAACUUUUUCAUUAUAUCUCUUACUUCAAUUCGAUUUAAUAAGUUCAGGUAAACUUAUUGAACGAAAUCAAAUAUAAGAACAUAAAUGUUUGCUGUAAUUUGCAAAACAAAUACGGCUAAAGAUACAGGUGUAAAAAAAUUAGGACAAUAUAUGGAUUUUAUAUAAGCGGGCGAUGUUAAUUUCCCGAGGGAAUAUUAAAUUUAGAUGUAUGUAAUGGAGUUGAAAAAAAUAUUACUAUUUUUGACAAAUAUAUGUACAAGAAUCAAAACAUAAUAAUAUAACAACAUAAAAAUAACAUAUUUAUAAUUAUUCCUUUUCUUUAUCAUAAAUUUGGACAUAAAUAAGUCAAACAGUUUGAUAGCUACUCGAAUUCGACUCGAUAAUAAUCGAGUCGAGCUCGAUAUAUGUAAAUAAUUUAUUGAACCAAGUUCGAGAUUUAAAUUACUUGGCCAGUGAGUGUUGAGAGCUUAAUGUAGUUUAUAUUAUUAUAAUUUAUCACUUAUAUUAUUGUAAUAAAUCUCAAUAUUACACACACACACAUAUAUAUAUUACAUAUUUAAUUAAAUAAAACUUAAGUCCUACAAAAGUAAAAUAAAAUAAAUUUGAGUCGAAUUUACUACAAUCAAAUUAUUUUAAAUAUUUUAGUAGCAUUUAUUCAAUACUUAGGAUUGGAACAAAAUAUAUCAAAUAACUCAAGAUUCAAUUUGACAAUUUUAAAAUUGUGUAUACUUGUAUAGCACUGGUGCUAAAUUAUAUAUAAUUAUUACUAUAUUAUGAAAAUAAAUUUUGAUGUUAAAAUGAAUUUUAUACUCCGAUAAUAAUUUUAAAAUAGUACAGAAUUAUUUAAAUUUAGGUAUAUUUACUCACUAUAUAUUUAAAAUUAUUAUUUUAUCUGUUAACAUUAUUUUAAGUGUUAAUUUCUACUUUCAUGUUUAUAAAAAGGGAUCUUUUUAAAAAUAACCAUCUGUAAAAUUAUUUUGUUAAAAAUACUACCAUCUUUUUCAUUGUUUUUAAAAAUACCUUUUCAUAAAUUUUUUUUUUCAAAAAUACGGUUUGCAACUUUUGCAAUCUCAUUUGCAACCUUGGGCGGCAACUUUUGCAACUGCAGUUGCAACUUCAUUUGCAACCUCAGUUGCAACUAAAUGCAACUGAAAACUGUAAGUAACAACAGAUGUAUGGUGUGUCCCUGGCGGGACCAUUAGAUUGCAAUAGAAUCAACUGAAUGUAAUUAUAUGCAACUGAAUACAACCAUAUGCAACCAUAUAUGCAGUUACAAAUCCUGAUUUAAAGUUCCAAUUUUCAAAUGUCAUUUUCGACCUCAUUUUCGGAAUCGAUAUAUAUAUAUAAUAUAUAUAAACUGGAACUUUAAAUCAGGAAUUCGGUUGCAUAUGAAGUUGCAAAAGAGGUUGCAACACGGCUGGCGCCGCCUGGAGUUCCAAAUGAGGUUGCAAAAGUUGCAAACCGUAUUUUUGGAAUUUUUUUUAUGAAAAGGUAUUUUUAAAAAUAAUUCUGGAAGGNNNNNNNNNNNNNNNNNNNNNNNNNNNNNNNNNNNNNNNNNNNNNNNNNNNNNNNNNNNNNNNNNNNNNNNNNNNNNNNNNNNNNNNNNNNNNNNNNNNNNNNNNNNNNNNNNNNNNNNNNNNNNNNNNNNNNNNNNNNNNNNNNNNNNNNNNNNNNNNNNNNNNNNNNNNNNNNNNNNNNNNNNNNNNNNNNNNNNNNNNNNNNNNNNNNNNNNNNNNNNNNNNNNNNNNNNNNNNNNNNNNNNNNNNNNNNNNNNNNNNNNNNNNNNNNNNNNNNNNNNNNNNNNNNNNNNNNNNNNNNNNNNNNNNNNNNNNNNNNNNNNNNNNNNNNNNNNNNNNNNNNNNNNNNNNNNNNNNNNNNNNNNNNNNNNNNNNNNNNNNNNNNNNNNNNNNNNNNNNNNNNNNNNNNNNNNNNNNNNNNNNNNNNNNNNNNNNNNNNNNNNNNNNNNNNNNNNNNNNNNNNNNNNNNNNNNNNNNNNNNNNNNNNNNNNNNNNNNNNNNNNNNNNNNNNNNNNNNNNNNNNNNNNNNNNNNNNNNNNNNNNNNNNNNNNNNNNNNNNNNNNNNNNNNNNNNNNNNNNNNNNNNNNNNNNNNNNNNNNNNNNNNNNNNNNNNNNNNNNNNNNNNNNNNNNNNNNNNNNNNNNNNNNNNNNNNNNNNNNNNNNNNNNNNNNNNNNNNNNNNNNNNNNNNNNNNNNNNNNNNNNNNNNNNNNNNNNNNNNNNNNNNNNNNNNNNNNNNNNNNNNNNNNNNNNNNNNNNNNNNNNNNNNNNNNNNNNNNNNNNNNNNNNNNNNNNNNNNNNNNNNNNNNNNNNNNNNNNNNNNNNNNNNNNNNNNNNNNNNNNNNNNNNNNNNNNNNNNNNNNNNNNNNNNNNNNNNNNNNNNNNNNNNNNNNNNNNNNNNNNNNNNNNNNNNNNNNNNNNNNNNNNNNNNNNNNNNNNNNNNNNNNNNNNNNNNNNNNNNNNNNNNNNNNNNNNNNNNNNNNNNNNNNNNNNNNNNNNNNNUCUCGAGGUCUCUCUCUCUCUCUCUCUCUCUCUCUCUCUCUCUCUAUCUCUAUCUCUGGGAAUUUUUUUUAUGAAAAGGUAUUUUUAAAAAUAAUUCUGGAAGGUAGUAUUUUUGAAAAUAAUAAAAAAAAGGUAGGUAGUUUUGUAGAUUUCCCUUAUAAAAAUCUAUACCUUUUUUAUUUUCGGAAAGUAAUAACAUCCCAUAUUUAGUAUAAUAUAUAUUAUUUUAUUAUUUUUCACGUUUAGCAACUCAUCUGAAUGCGCGAUGCUACUAGCAGGCUCAAAUGGACAACUCUUUUAUCGACUAGUUGAGUAUUGGGCCUCCAUAAGCCCAAACAAUCCCAAAACACCAUUUCAUACUCAUUACGUGAGACGAGGCUGCGACAUAAGAAAACAAAAAUAGAAAAACAAAAAGCAUGCUCCAUAUGUGAGACAUACACACAUGUGUAUCUACAAAAACACGCACUCACACACCCUCGAAAAACACACACAGUGUCAUGGUUUCCGCAGACCAGCCACUGAAGAAACGAAAGCUCUACGAGAGCCACAAUUCGCCGCCUCAAAGUCUCUCCGACGAUGAAAUACAGCGCCGGCGACGGAACCAAGAGGAGAUUCGCAACGUUUAUGAACAUUAUAAGCUCUUGAAACAAUGUAUUUCGAACAAAAACCCUAAUUUUAUGCCCAAAUUGGAAGAAUCCUAUCUCGCUCUCCUCACCGCUUCUCGAGGUCUCUCUCUCUCUCUCUCUCUCUCUCUCUCUCUCUCUAUCUAUCUAUCUAUCUAUCUAUCUAUCUAUCUAUCUCUCCCUCUCCCUCCUCUCUCUUGUCUAUCUAUGUUGUGGUGAUUUUGAUUGAUUAUUUAGGGUUUGAGCUUGAAAUUAUGUGGAUUUUGUGUUUUAUAAGUUGAUUUGUUGUUACUGUAUUUUUUGGGAGAAAAUUUAAGUAAUUAGGUUUCGGUUUUAAGGCGGUGAUCGUUUUAGCUAGGUGAUCGAAUUGUGUAGAUAGAUACUGAUGUUUGGAAUUAUUGCUGUGUAAUUUUUGGAGUUGUGCGGAUUAUGACCUUUUGUAGAUACUAAUGAAACUGUUUUGUGUUUAUCUGUUUAUGUUUUCUAUUUUUGGUACUGUGUGUUUUCAGCUGUUUUGUAUUGACAUGAUAUUUUCGAGCUUCAGUUAGUAAAUACAUGGCAGCAAUAUACAUCUCCCACGGUCUUUUCAUUAAAGCGUUGUUAAUUGUUUUAAAAAGAAAUGGUUACAGAGCAAUAUAUAUACUGUUUCCAAUUUUAAAUGAGUUGAUGUACUUGACUCGUUUGAUGCAACAAUUUAAGGCAUGACGAUGUGUGUAUACCUUCUCUAACUGGAUAUGUGUAAAAGGAAAGGGUGCAUGGCAUGUAGUUGAGUGUGCGGAAGGUUAAUUGAACAACAAGUUGUGGAUAAGAGAGAAUUUGUUUCAGUCAAAAAGUUGUAAAUUAUAUCAAGAUUCAUGUAUCUUACAUAUCAUUAAUAGAUUAAGUUAUUUACUUCAAUUGCAGCAGAUGUUGUCUUGAAGUAAUCUUAAAGUGAUACAUCGACUUGUAAUGAUUUUUGGUCCACUAAUAGUAAGUACUUAUAAUUAAUUGUAAUAACUAUAUGAAUAAAAGAUACGUAUACUUUAGAACAUAGUUCUGUGCACAUUGUUCCUUAAUUAUGUAUAAGUACAAAAGUUGCAUCAUUUGUUAGAUAGUAUCUUACUUUAGUAUGCCACUUUAACUAAGUAAGACCAUUCUAGGUACAUUUUCUUACAGAUAGAAUGUAAUUUUAUAAAUAUGACUAUUCUUGAGAGCACUUUUAAGUUGUUGGAUGUUCUACAUGUACCUGCACUUUUGCAUGAAUGUGAAAUAAAUAUAGGCAGUGGUGCUUUGCAUCGUUACAGAACUCACUUUUUUUAAUUAAACAAAUUUUAGGAUUUUUAUUCAGAACUAUCUAUAAACAAAAUUCGAGCACCUCUUUGUUGAGAAUUCAUUGUCCCCUUCGGUGUUAUUAAAAGUGCACACAUGUGAAAUGCGAAGCAAUGUGCACAACGGUGCACUCGCUUUUAUGUGUGUUGAGCACUUAUGCGGAGUUCAAAAAGUGCAAGAUAAGCGCAGAAGCGCGAAGAUGGGUCAUUUUAAAGGAAAUGGGUCAACAAAAAACCCUACACGCCGUUAUAGCAGCCAACACAUAUAGAUAUAGACCAGAUAUACAUACAAGAACGAUAGAUAUGGAACCGGGGACAAAAUUUCAACUCAUCUUCUUAUUAUGAUUCUUACAUAUUAAUGCAUACACAUGUAUAAAUACACAUAUUUUGUAUAUACAGAUUCAUAUAUACAUACAAUUCUUAUAUAUAUAUACAUGCGAUUGAGGAGGAUGAUGAAGAAGACUUUGUUUAGGAUCCGAAUCAUGUUAGUGAAGAUUUUGUGAAUCUUAAAUUCUUGAUGACAAAGAGGAAGUAGAAUGGAGUAACAUUGCAUUUUGACUCUAUAUUGUUCUACUUUUAAUAUAUUUGAUUAUGAAUUUGGUUGCUGUAUUAAUUUAAUGUCUUCUUAUCUAUGAAUUAACAAUACUCUACAUUAUAUACCAUAUAUAUAGUAUAUUUUCUUGUCUUUGAUGAAUCCACGUGUUGCGCUUAUGCUCCAGGGGGCCUCUGUGCUUCUGUGCGCAUAUCAAAUUAUAUAUACUGGUUCCCUUUCUUUCGUCGGGGUUGAUUGUGUCAUAGCUCUAUAAGAAAAAAAGGUGUUUCUUACCGGGAAAGUCGUGUCUGAGAUGUCUUUAUAUGCUUGCAGUAGAUGAACUUUCUGCUGCUGUUAAACUCUUCCCACCAAGAGGGGCCAGAUUAAUUCCACAGAGGAAAAAGUCUUUUUUACGAAGUAUAACUAAAAAUGUGGUUUAUGGCUUGUGCUUCUUGGCAGCUAUUUGGCACUGGGUGUAUUGAGAUCUAGAAAUCUUUUAUGAUGAACGUACAGGAAAUCCUUCUUUAGAUUUACCCCACCUUAUGUAACACUGGAUUAUUUAUAGAAUAUGAGCACACAAGGAAGUAUACGCUCAAGCCAAGAACUUUAAUAGCAUUGUAUACUAUGAGAUAUUUAUUGUCAAUAAGAAACAGUACAUAGGUAUAGUAAGUGAAUUUUUCAACGAAAAGUAUACAUAAAUUACAUAUUAUUAGUUUCUCUCUUAAUAACCUUAAUCAGGAAAGGCGGCACGCAGCAUGCUACCCAUUUAAGUAAAUGAUGAGCUGAUUAAUUAAAUGCAGUUAGCACUCAUCAGCACUUCAAAUAUAUUUUCUGUCCUUUCUACAAAUUCAGAUCCAGCUAAACCGUUUCUGUCUUGUUCCAUCCCAUUCCCAUACCCUAUUAUGGAAAACAUGUCAUUGUAUAUAGAAUACAAUUGUUAUAAGAUUAAGAGGGAUGAAGUAUCUGCUAUAGUCUGCUGCUUCCAGAAUCUGAAGUCUUAUGUUAUUUCUUUUAAAAUUUUCUUCGUAGAGUUAUAUAUGCAUAUAUAGUUAUAUAUGGAGUAAGGUUCCAAAGUGAACUCUCAUAAAAUGAGUACCUGAACCCUUUUCUUUUGCUUAUUUUUAUAGACCAACUAGAUGUCAUUAUAAUAAAUUUUAUGAGAAUAUUAGAAUUGGAAACUGAAUUCUUGAAAAGGAUACAGGUAAAACAGAUUCUUAAUAUUAGAUUCUACAAAAUAUUAUAAAUUAUUAAGAUUUCCUUGAAGAAAAUUAUAAACAAAUCAUCAUCUGUAAUUGAGUUUUUGGAAGCAUGUUAAGGCAAUACAAUUUUUUUAUUUUUUUUCUGAUUUUAAAACCAAUAUUUUAGGUGGUUAUCGAAGCUCUCUUUUUAAGAAAUUGAUCGGUGGCCAUUAUAUAUGUAAUGAAUGUCAACGAAUGUGUGUCAUGCUCUACUAUAUGUCAUCUACUUACGAGAUUCCAAUAAGGUUCUAGAUCCUUAAAUAUCAUACUUUAGGCCCAGUGCAUUGUUCCAUUGAAUAAAUUAUUUAAGAGAGGAGAGAAGAAAACUUGAAAAGAGGUAGAUAAGAUGAUAUGAUAGUGAGAAAUAAAACAGGAUCUAGAGAGCAUGAGAAAAGGGGGUUGGUAAAAUCCCUGGAGUUUUUAUAUCCUAUAUUGAUUAUAGGAAAUGCGGAGAUUAUAUCCCUUCUAAAUAUUUUGGAUACUGCUUUGCUCUGCAACCAGAUAAUCAACAUUCUUAUGAGGAAAUAUUUACUAAGUGUAAUUGAAGAUACUUUCCUAGCUUCUACUCUAGAAACUUUUAACAAUGGUGAUAAAUUAUGGCUGCCUUAUAUAGACUAUGCUUUGUGCCUGGGAUCCUUCUUUACUUGGUCCAUUAGAGGUUGACUAAGCACAUAUAAACUUUAAUCCUCUCCAACAAAUUAGUCCAUUUAGUUGAUGUCAACGCUCGGCUGGAAGUGUCCAAGGUAGGACUUGGAAAUAUUUAAUUUAAAUUUUUUGCAUGUUUUUGUGCUGACAUGAGAGUGUCUGCUGGUACUCAAGGUUAUAUAAAGAGACGGGGUAACAUAGUAGUCAGCUAUCAUGAUCUAGAAGUAUUCUAUCAUCAAUAAGCUGUUGCAUUCCUUUUCUUCAGUUGUAACCACCGGAAGUUGGAACUUGUCCUAAUCUGGCAAGACUUGGUAAUUAUCAAGUUCCGACCCGAAGAUAUUUUUUUUGCUUCCCUACUAACACAUGUAUACAUACAUACAUAUAUAUAUAUAUAUAUAUAUAUAUAUAUAUAUAUUCAUUAAAGUUUGAUCCAGUUUAAAUCUGAGUAGUUACAUAAUAUAAGGCGAUCAUUAUAAGGCAAGUAUACAUCAUAGAUCGUACAUAUCAAUUGUUACUUGUCUGUUUGGCUAUAAUAGGAAGGGUAUUUGUCCAUCUGUGGUAUAUAUUGGGAGCAGCUCCAGUUUGAAUAAUAUGAUAUAUGAGCAACUAUUUAGCAGUUCGAUUUAAUAUGUGAGUUUAUAUACUUGUGAAAAGUAGGAUUAGAAUAAAUGGGGGUAAGAUAGAUGCAGUACUAGGCUACUACUGAAUGGUGAUACUGACAUGCAGCAAAAGCCAGAGGAUACAGGGAUUAAUCUGUGAUGAAUUUACUUAAAACUCAGAAAAAUAUUAUAUUUUAUGAUCUACAUGUAUGGUAUUAGUCUACUUGGAUACUCCUAAAAGUCUAAUAGGAUUAUGAUUAAAUGCCGUCUAAUUUAAUGAAAUAUAUUAAUCUAGUUCUAACCAAUGAUAUCAACUACCUCAGAUUUUAUUCCCUACUCGCUAUCAACUCCCAAGAUUCCAGUUAUUACUUCAACUUUCAUCAAAUAUCUGUUAUAUUUCUGUGUAUACUCUUCACUUUACUCUGUUGGUGACGAGUAACCAACAGAGUAUAGGCCCAGAAACCCAUGUAUAAGCAAGUGUAGUCUGAUUGUACUACUGUCAUAUUAGCAAUGUUCAAUCCUAGUAUGCUGAUUAAGAUUUUUAUGACUUCAGUGAGUAUCUGUGUAUAUAUAUUAAGGGAAAUAGUUUGAUUCUCAUGUUAAAGUCUUUGCUAGUUGGCUGUUUUCAAUUUGAAGACCAGAAAAUGACCCUCCAGUCGUUGGAAUUUGACUUCGUCAAAAGUUAAACUGUACAAUUAAAAGAUAAAGUUUAGCACUUUAUUGUUAUAUUGUUAUUUUUUUAAUACCUAGUAAGUUAACAAAUAAUCAACAAAUUUAUCCAAACUCAUAACAACUUAGAAGUCAAAAGUUACAUUUUUCGUGUAAGUAAUAAAAUGCCGUAGGGUGAAAAGUAAGUUUUUUGAAGGUAACCCAAACAAGCCCAAAAGAACUUAUAUGUCGAGUGUCUAAGUGACCACAUCUUUGACUUUUAGCCAAUCUGUUGCGCUGUUUAACUAUAUUUGUCUGUUAUUAGGAACACUAUAUGGUCUCUGAUGGUUUCUAUACAAGUUAGAGAAUUACAGACUCAUGCUAUGUUUUUGACUUGCAGGAUGUACAAGUGUACAACGUAUUGUUGCAGAGUUUAUUCCUAGAUAUGCAUCAUUUUGUCCGACUGCUCUAGAAGCUGCUACCAAGGCUGUCAUCAAUAUACAUAAUUGCAGCUUAGCUGUGAUAAAUAGAGGAGAAGAUGGUGAUGGGGUUGCAUGUAGGACUGCCACUCUCUGCAUUUCUGGUCUAGUGGAGAUCUGCCAAGCUGCACAGUCAGAGGCACCAACGUCGUCUGUCAUUCAGCGCAUCUGUUCUAGUGUUUUCAUUGAUGUGCUCAGCUUCUUUGUUUCCACUUUUAAUGGAAUUGAUCUCUUUCAUAUUGUUGAUAAAGGUGUGCUUAAGAUGCAAGAUUCUACAUCAUUAUUUUCUGAUUUCAAGCAAAAAAUUUCAGCUGAAGACGAUAAUGAAGUGGCCAAGCUAUCCAAGUUACGUGCACUAAGCCUUAUCUGGAUUCUCUUUUGCUGUCCUAAAAAUGCACUUGCUGCUUCUUUUGAACUAUGUGACUCAGUGGCAACAGAGGAACUCCAUAAUCAUGGGCUUUACUUUCUUCGUCAGAUUACAAGUGAAUUUGAGCCAAAUGAUGUAGCUAAUCACGUGGAUUCUAAAAAGGGUGGAAUUGUAUUGUCUACAGAUUCCGACAAUCCAAUGCACGAAACGGAGGAGAUCACUCAUCAUGGGCUAGUGUCACACGACAAUCACAAGUCUGAUGGUCCACCUCUUAUCUUGAAGAAAUGCUUGCUGGGACUGGUAAACUUUAGCUUUUAUCGUUUGUUUUAAAAUAUAGUCUUUUGAUAGUAUUGGUUGUCAUUACUCUUCGUUAUAAAGUUGGAUCACUUCCUCAUUUUAACCCAAAAGAUAACUGAAAUUUCUUUGAAAUAGUAUUAUAGCAUCAUACAUAUCUGGUUUGACACAAAAUACAGUUAUCUUGUUUAGUAAAAUCGUUGAAAUUCCACAUGUUGACUUCUCUAGGUCAGAUAGAAUACUUUUGUGUAACAAAGGAGUAGAAUAAUUUUAGAACUGAUUUUAUAACUGCGUCAUGGUAUGUGCGAUAAUCACCAUCCUUAAGUUAAGUCUCAAAGGACCUUAUUGCUCUUGUGCGAAUUCAGGAAUCAGACCUCUAAUUUUUAGUUAUAUAUGGCUGCGUUGAGGCCUUAACAUUAAGCAUCUCUGAUUCUUUUCUAGGAUUUUGGUAGAAUUUUUGUUAAGACUAAGCAACUCACUUCUCAAAUUAAGUGCUUAAACUGCAGUUUCUUAGUGGUAGUCUUGUACAGAAUUGCAGUUUAUUGUGAAUUUCUUGUGAAUUCAGUUUUCAUCUAUGUAUAAAAUUUCAUUGAUGUGUGCAUCAAGUUGAGCUACUCUUAGCAAUAUAGAGCGCAAUCCGAUUGGAAAUCUGUUUUUAGUUCCUAGUGAGAGACCAGAGGGGAAAUAAUAUCUGUGUAUCUCUAUAUUUUUUGACUAUCUCUCCUGUACCGUUAUGAUUUGAUGGCAAUUUCAUCAAUCUGUGAGUCAACAAGCUUGCACCCUAACAUACUGGUGCCAAUUUGAAUGUUGGUGGUAUACUUUUGGUGUGACAGACCGAAUAGUUAUAGAAACAUUAAUAUUUAGGCCUGGACAAUGAUAAAAAACCUUGGUUUGAAAGUUUUUAUCCAUAAUUCUAUUGAAAAACCAGUAUUAAUAAUUUUUACGUCUCACACAGUUAUCAUCCGGGUUGAAAACAAUGUCAUCUAUGUAUGAUGUGUAUAACUAAUGCUGUAAGAUACUUGUUUUUGUGACUAGUAUUAUGUCAUAAGCAUUGCAUAGGAUUUGUAUGAUUGAACUUAACCAUUGCUCUGUUAAGUUGCCAUACCAGACUUUCAGUUCAUCGAAGGUUUUGUUCAAGAUGUUAGGUUGUGCUCUCUGUCAGUCUGAGAAACCUGUAGGAUUAUCUAUAUAUAACUGAUUUACCAUGUUUCUUCUUUGGGAAGGCAUUGUUAGCAUAUAUUUUUUUGAAGUAUAACCGUAGGUUGUUUUACAAAAGAUUGGAAGUAUGGAACUCACAUCAGGGACUAAUAGAUGUCUAACUGGCAACAAAACAAGAGAAAAGGCCCCAAAUGACACAGAAAUGGAAGUAAAAUGUCCCAUAUGUUGGAACUCUAAGUAAUGGCCCUUUAGAGCACAAUAAAACAAAUUCUAAACUUGCGUUUUUUCUGAAAUGCCGGGGGCGUAAUGCAAUGAUAAUAGCAAUGAAGUGGACCCCAUUCCAUUACUUCUUUGUCUGAUAGAUAGUGUACAACUUUGUUUGGGCCCUAUAUAUUGGGCUUAGUCUCUGUAUAAUUUUUAUUUGUACUUUCUUAGGUAAAACAAUAUUUGGUUAAAUUUCUUUUUUUUAAAUUUAAUUUUACAAAAAUGUUGGUAAAAUAUGUGUUUAACAUAAUAGUAACAUUAGAAUGCUUUCGUUGAAAACAUGAUUUUAAGUUAUGUUUUUCUGUGCAUGAAGGGCCAUUUUUCUAAAUUGUGCUGUUUUGGACCAUUUUGCUCCAAAUUGUGCCCGAAGGGACCAUCUCCUACAAAACAAGCCCUGUAGUUCUCAUUAGCCCACCAGCUGCUUAUAUUAUUGGUUGUAUCCAGUUGCGACCAGCUUUUUCUUGUUAAAUUAAUUGGAUCAGGAACAAGUUGUCAGUCGCCAUUCUGUUUGUAUAUAUCUCCUUUAUUAUUGAACUUUUCACAUCUAGCAGCGCACUAGAAUCCUGUAUUGGAACCAAUAAACUGUAUGAAUAGGAAACAAUCUCACGGAACGAGAGAAUUAAGAAAAACAAUAUCAUAUAUUAGAAAUGGGGGGUAGUGGAUAUCAUAUCGAGGUGGGAGAAAGAGGAACAUCAAGAUGAGAGAUGUUAGAAUUUUGAGAAUCACAUGAAGAAUGAACUAGAGGGUGAGGAGCUAGGUUAGGUAUAGGUGUAUAGUAUACCGUCGUCUGAGGAGCUGUAAGUGCACUAGUUAGAUAGAAGUGAAGGACAGACAUUCACAAGAAAGGAAAGAGGGUGUAAAAAAGUUAGAAGGUCGAAGGGAAUAAUGUGGAUCAAUUUCAUAACAAUUUUAUUGGUGUCUUGUCUCUUCAUUAAGGGCUGAUAAUAUACCAUUCCUGAAAUAUGGAACAGGGAGACAUACUCCUAAAACGUCAUGUCAUCAUAGCUUGUGGAAGUCUUAAGGAGAGUAUGAGACGAUGAGGUGCGGAAACAUAUGUGUUCCUGAUUUCCAUCUGUGAGCAGCAUCUUCUCUCUUUCAACAACUGAAACAAUGCUGAGAGUGUUUAUGUCCUCUUUAAUGCUAUGCUUGGUUUUUGUUUGACAUGUAUGUCUGCUUCGCUGAUACUUGCAGAAAAACAAUUUUAUUUGUGCUAAACUGCUAAUAAGUAGGAUUGUUUAGUUGUUUGAGUAAGAUUCAUAGUCUUCAUUAUGUGUACCUAUUAUCAGAGUUUAACUUCACUAUAUGAAUCAAUUUUUUUACUGGCUUGUGAUUCUGUUUGUACCUCGACUUUAUUCAUCCAGGUUGUUAGCAAAAAUUUACCACUGAGAAAGUGGAUGUUCUUGAGGUAUAAGAAGUUCUGUACUUCCGCAUCAUCACAAGUUGCUUCCAAAAUCACCUCUCUUCUGGAGGAAGUGUUUCAGUCCUUUGCUGAACAGGUUAAGGCUGCGGAUGAUCAAUUAAAUAGCAUCGAGGACAAUUCCAUUGCAUCCAAGAAUUUCAGUGCACAAUAUUUGGGCCUCAAAAGACAGAAUUCUGAAAUUUGCAGAAGAGAUGGUCCGUAUGUUAAUAACUUGACUGAAAAGUUAUUAGAUCAAAAACUGACAGAUUCACGUCCACUGAUUUCUCCUGAAACCCCUAUGCGCGUAACAGUUGGAUCGAAUGUUGAUGUUGGAGGACCAAGAUCCAUGGAUUUUGACACAUCUGAUGCUGGGGAGGUAUUGCGACCCAGAUCCUCUACACCAAGAGACCUGUUAAAUAAUCAGAUGCAUUCUCCUAUUAGGAGAAAAUCAUUUGACAUGAGGAGUAAUUCAUUCGAAGGUACUAGUUAUUUCAUCAUAGUGAAAAGUGAAAACUUUUGCAACUUAACUGAAAUUUAGCUUUACCUCUAAAAUCUUCUGCAGGUUCUAUUGGCCAUUUACAAUUGCCUUUCGACUCUCCUCAACCUCAUAUGCCACUGCCAUCCCCCUCCACAAGUCACGGGAGUUGGUUCUCUGAUGGGGAUCCAGCAGCAAUGGAUAUUUUUUCAGCUUCAAGACGACUGUGGUUGGGUUCUUUGGGCCCUGAUGCAUCUGAAGCACUAGUCAGGUUCCAAUUUGAAAAGUUUGGUCCAACAGAGCAGUUCUUAUACCAUCCUUAUAAGGGAUUUGCAUCAGUUGAGUACAAAAACUUAAUGGACGCAGUAAGGGCCAGGGGAUAUAUGAGGGGAUGUGCUCCUUGGGGUGCUCCUCUCCAUGUAAAGUUCUUGGAUAUAGGAUUAGGCACAAGGGGGGCUAUAAAUGGUGUUGCAAUUGGUUCUUGCUGUCAUGUUUAUGUUGGAAAUGUUCCAACUCAAUGGGCCAAGGAUGAGAUUCUGCAUGAAAUUAAGAAAGUGGUUUACAAAGGCCCGCUUAUGCUUACUGAUCUUAGGAGUGAAAUGGCAGUACUUAUGGAGUUUGGAAACCCUGAAGAAGCAGCAAAUGUGAUGGCACAUCUUAGACAGUGGCGUAAGGAAAGCUGCAAGUAUCUUCUACCUUCAAAUGUUGGCCCGGCUAAUGCAAGAAUGCACUUGGAAAGUUCGAGACAUGGGCCCAUCACACCUGCUUACUUUAGAAGCAAGUCUGGUAAUAGUUUUACUGAAUCACCCCAUGCUCAAACAGUGCUUGAGAGUCCCUCUGAGAGUUACAGAACAAAAAUGUCAAGUCUGAGUACUUUACUUGCAUCAUUACGUGCAAAAUAUAAUAUUGCAUCUAACGGAAAUUAUUGUGAAAGCUAUAAUAACGGAAAUUAUCAAGCUGCUUCUGUGAGAGAAGAUGGAUUACCAACAAACACUCUUUGGAUCAGCCUCCCGAAGAGCAACUCCUCAGGUGUCACUGAUGAUGAGGUUAUGAUCAUCUGUAAUCUUGCACUAAGUGGAGUAGGCUCAGUUGUGAGUAUAACCAGAGCAUAUAUGCCUACGGGACUUGGUUGGUAUGUUGAAUGCAGUAGCAUAGAUGCUGCAAGUACCGUUUUGAAGAUUCUACGUGCUUCUCAAGGGAUUUUCUUCCAAGUUGAAUUUAGGUAUGCAAAAUCAAUCUCUCUCUCUCUCUCUCUCUAUAAAAAUUAUUGUCUAGAGUUCCUCUUGCUUACUGUGAAUCGCGACUCAUAACUUGCUGUGAUGGAUGAGCGCUCUAAGUUGCAAUUUACAGUCGAAGCCCCAGAAGGAGAAUUAGGCAAUUUACAGAGCUAUAUAUACAUAUAAGUUAUAACUAAUGAGACCGUGUAGUGCUGUGCCAGUAUUCUAAAUGUUAAAGUCAUUGCUCUCAUUUAUAUCAGUAGACUGUAAGUUAUGAGUGGGUCCUGUGCUCUUGGUUUUGACUUCAAUUUAGCCCCAACAGCAUCAAUUGCAAGUGGCAGGGAUAAAAUAUCUUCAGAAUGGCUUUAAAAGUACCUAGGUCUAACACCAUGUCGAAGUUUUCUGUUGAAAUGAAGCUGUUAGAAUUUCAAGCCUAACCAACUUGUUGUCUUAUGUUAGUUACCAGUGAGGUAGUAAACUUUUAGUUUGUAUACUUGUCAAAAUUUAAAUUCAGUUAACUUCUAGUCUCAGUAGUAUGUUUUUUAGAUGUCACUGUUCCCGUGUAAGCUUUUGCAUAUUUGUUCAAACAGUUAUCCUGGGAAGCACCAUGGCACAUCUCUCCAAGUGAAACAGGAUAGCUGCAAUUCAGAUUCUCCACGAGGUAAAAUGUGUUAUAAGAUAAUCUAUACUAACAAAUUAGUGAGUUAUUGGUGUAGAAGUAUAAUUCUAAAGCAUGAAUUUUUUCAGGUAGUCGUGGGGGUUUAGUUGCUAAUGAACAAAUGUGGACGUAUAAUAAUCCUAAAACAGAAAUCUAUCCUGCACAAGGGACUCAUUCUUUCAUGACCACUGCAUCACAGGGACCACCUUUACCUCCACAGCCAAAUUAUGCAUCUUCAUCGAUGAGGCCUUAUUUUCCUCUAAGCAAUUGCUGGGAGGCACGGAGCUUGAGUAAUCCUCAUCCGCCUAAUCCAGCCUCAGUGGGUCUAGUUCCAACUAUUAUUCAUACUCCAGUGGUUCCGCCUCCAUUUCUACCUCCGUCUGUGACUCCUCUUACACAAAUGCCAGGAAGCUCAGUGCAGCAAUUUGAUCAGACAUUCUUUCGUCCCGCUGUGCCACCCCCUUUGAUAAACGUACCACCUCAGCCAGAGCUGGCACCUCCGUUGCCACCUCCACCAUCAUCUCCUCCUCCUUUACCUCAAUCUCUUCCACCUGUAGUUCCUCCUCCACCUAGUUCUCCGCCACCCCUUCCACCCAGGGAGUACUCUAAUGUGGUCAGUUCAGGACCAUGUAUAGCUCACAGUUGGCAGGGUACAUUGAGUAAAAGUGGGGUUCAUUAUUGUACAGUUAAUGCACAAAGGCUUCAUUCUGAUAUGUGCAAGUAUUCAAAUGCUUCCUCAGAACCUGCAGAGUAAGUAGUGACUUGGUUCUAAUGUAAACCAUCUCUAACUUCUAUGGGUAAAGGGUAUUAUCUGAUCAUUUGUUGGUUGACUUGUGCAGAUGGCCAGCUAAAUUAGAUAUGACAAAGCGCACGGAUUUUCGACAUGUGAAGACAACUUUUUCUAGCACACCAGCACACAAAGUGAGUGGUUAAAUGUCGAUUUAGGCAUGAAAAUGCUCAAUAGAUUCGUCUUUAUUUAAUCUAUUUAUAUUGCUGGUAAAAUAGACUAAUGGAUGCCUCCUGUCAAUACUAGAAUCCCAUUCCUUUCCCCCAGGGGAUCUACUAGUGAUGCUAGUGUAUGUACUUUAGUGUAUGUACUUUGCUUCUAGAUCUCAUUCUGAUCAUAAUAAUACUGUGUAUAUUUAGAUAAGUACUGGCAGACAUUUAGAAGGUACGAAAAUACUAUCUGGAGUCUUUUCGGUACGGGUUUGUUACAUACCAAGUUGUAUCACUCCUAUGGGCAAGCUGAAUGCAAUACACUAGCUUUCUUUCAGCAGAUUUAUCUGUAGCAUCCUAAUAAAAUUUUAUGUUGUCGGAGUUGCCAAAUUCUUGGUUUAGCCAUUCCCAUAUUUAUCACAACUUACCAAGUCUAGGGGUGCCUUAGACUUCAACUGUUGUAUUACGUGGUAUUGCCAUUAUGGUUCCCUUGGUUAAAUGUUUACUUUGAGAAACAUAUAUCUUACAUGCAUUAAAUAUAGAAACUGAAAAUCAGUAAUGUGACCUUUCAAAUGCUUUAUUUAAUUAUUUACUCUAAGAACUAUUUUAGUUGGUGAAUUAGUGGUUAGGUUUCCAAAUCUUAAUUGUUUACAAAUUUCGUAUCUUAUCUUUGUGAGCACUUCUCCAGCAAGAGUGGAUUAAUCAGUUUAAUGUAGUGGUUGAAGUUUAGUCCAUAUGUUAUUCUUUCCUGGAUUAUCUAUGCAUUGUGUAUUUUCUUAUAUCAUGGUUUCUUGAACUGGAGCUUAUAUAACCAUGGGUUUAAAUGCAAUGCAGAGAGAAGUAUGCCAGUUGCUCCCUUCUGCCGCAGGAGAUUAUAAAGGAGUAAGUCAUAUAUAUUUAUUCUACAUUUUUUAGUUAUGGCUUCUCUAGUUCGUUUUCAUUUUCCGACUUCAACAUUGGUCACACUUGUUUAUAAAGAGAAUGUAUAUAUACAUGUCGCUGAAAUUUUAUCACAGUGGGCAUAUUUAUUAUCAUUCUGUUCUGUACUUCUAUUUAAUUUAUAAAAUAGAGUUGUAAAUCCAUUGAACCUCUUAUCGGGACCUGAAUUAUUCAGUGAAAAAUGCACACUUGCAUUGCAUCAUGUGUGAUGUCCGUAAGCCAUAGUUUUCUUUUCUUUUCAAAUGUAGCUUAUGAAGCAAGCAGUGCCUUGUCCACUUCUUAUAUCUUUACUUUCUUGGCAACUGCCUUGAUGUUUGUCUUGGUAAUCAAAAAAUACAGCUGUUGUAAUGUAUAUCAAUAAUUAUUUAUUUUGCAGUUUCAGGAUUUUAUUUCAUAUUUAAAGCAGAGGGAAUGCGCUGGUGUAAUUAAAAUUCCAGCAGCAAGACCCAUGUGGGCGAGGCUCCUCUUCAUUCUCCCUUACUCACCUGAAGUAGUGUCCAUGCUCUCUAUUAGUCCAACUUCAACAGAUUGCCUUGUUGCUUUGGUUUUGCCGAAGGAAACAAAUUUUGAAUGGGUAUGACCUCUGAUCUACCUGAAAUUAGUGGAUUCUUGUUUAGCAAACAUUUUGUCAAUAGAUCAGCAAUAUGCCAGCUAUGGAAUGGUUGUUGAUGUGUACAUUAGAAUGUUAUCAUCAAUGUUAAGAACGUACAAGUUCAGUGCGUAGGAGCUACAUGAACCAUGUACUUCAGGCUCCUAGAUAGGAACUCUUAUGUUUAGUUUACUUGACCGUGAGAAGCAAUAGUUUUGUAUACUAGCUGAUAUGGUGUUUGUGUAGAUUUAGGGGAUUUAAUACCACAUCAGCAUCACCGUGGUUGUCCCAUUUAGAAAAUAAACAAAUAACAAAAUUUAUUUUUGAACUCUGAUCUGAUCGGGUAGUCAUUUUAGACAAUGUUUAAACUGUCUUCAAUACAACUAUUUCAGAUAAAUAUCUCUUUAAAAUUUCUAGCACUUUGAACUCACUGCAAUGUUAGAGCAUGGAUUAUUUAUCAUUUAGGAUAUCAAUCCAAUCAGGGAUUAGUUGAUGGGCUUGUCAUUUUAGCAUGUGGUAAACUUGGAUUGUUUGCAUGGAUUGUUUGCAACGUGAGGUGCGUUGACUGGUUAUAUUUUGUAAAUCGUAUCUGGUGUAUAGGCAAACUCGUGGACAAAGAAACCGGUCAUCUUCACUUUCUUUUAAGUGUUGAAAUUAUAAUGAUAUAAUGAUGGCGUGUGGUUAUGGUAGUAAUAAAUUUAGACCUCUUACUAGUUGAACCUGAUCAAGAGUUUCCUUGAUCUAACUUGGUAUCUAUAACUAUCCCAAUUUAGUACAUCACAUUAUCAGACUAUAAUGGAAAGGAAUGAUAAUGUUCCAUUGUUUAGCUAGGAGUCCCUUGCAUGUAUUUUGUACAAAUAUUAAGGGAGCUGGUAGGGUUCGGUUGGAAGUAAAGAAAAGAACCCACCAUGUGAACAUACUGCCCACAGAGUUAUGGGAAAUAGCAACUGAAGAAGUUUAUUGAAAACAAAGGAGAUGAGGUCAAUCUCAAAUGACAGUCAAGAAAUUGGAAAUCCAACCCUACAGGAAUAGAUUCUUUUAGUUCUUUAGUUUAUCAUUGCUUGCUACAAGGUAGGAGACUAGGAGAGUAUUAUUAAUGUAGAAAGAUACCUGCAUCUAGUAGUUGCUUUUUGUUGAAAGGGGUUGGUCCAUAGUCCAUACUCCAUACUAAUCGAUUGUUGACAGAAAUUCUAAAAUGAUCAGUUUUCUGUUAAAUGACAUUGUAGCGUCAUAUAUGUGUAUUAAAAACUUAAGAUUAAUCCAUCAACUAUUUUUUUUCCUCGUUGGUAGUAUACCCUAACAUAUGAUUCUCAUGAACCAGACCUCGUAGAAUUAUAUGCCUGGGCUUUGCAUAUAUGAAUGCAAGUUUUUGAUCUUUUAUGUGAAAUAUCCAGCGAUGUAGGGUAUCCUUCCUGAUCAAUUUUACAAUUUUUUUGCACAUUUUCAAGAUGCAUAUAAAACAUGAUUUCAUAACUUAUUUAUAAAUAUUUUUUUAUAUAAAAGUUUAAACAUUAAUUUUUUCUUUAGAAGGAAAAAAAUUUAAAUAAAUUUAUCAAAUUAUAUUUUAUGAAAGAUAAAUAAUUGAAGGGACGGAAGGAAUAAUUUACAUAUCUCCAUGAAGUAUCUUAUGAUCUCCCUCCAGUGUCCCUCUCUGUUACAUUAUCUCAGUCAUUAUUUAUCCAGUCAACAAAAUUCAAAUAUAAAAAAAUCAUAAUAUAAAUAUGUAAAUAUUGUACACUAAUAUUUUAUUAAUAUACUUAUCUCACUAUACUAAAAUUUUAGCUCCGUCUUAGAUCUACGACAUAAGACUGGGAGGCUAAUUUGAUAUUGCCAAGUCAACCUUGACAAAAUAAUAUAUUGCCAAGUCAAUAUAUGUUUAUCAAAUAAAAUCUAAGAUCUAAUUUUAAGUGCUAAUCAAAUAUUUGAUAUGCUAGUUUGUUAAUUAUUUAAUAACUUGCAUUGUUCAUGCCUAGGCCUUGGGUGAGGCUAUAUAUCACCAGAACACUUGCCAAUCACCUCGUACUAAAUUAUAUGCAGAAUAUUUAAUAAACUUAUCUUCUGUACAUUUACAGGAGUACAUAAUUUACAAAAAAAUUAAGUUAUAUAACAUGUGGGAAAUUCAGUGAGCUCCUGUUAUUAAAUUAUUUUACAACAUAAUUUAUGAGGAAAAUGGCAGUACUAUUAAUGUCAAAUGUUAUUUUUUAUUAUCUCUCGUAGAAAGUGGGAAGGUUAUGGCAAAAAAACUUAUUCAUUGGCACAUAUAUUUUAAUAGUAAAAAUUGAAUAUUUACUGACAUGUAUCUAAGUAAAUGUGAUCUUGAUUGGAUUAAAGUAUGUGAAACCCAACAUAUAGGUGACACUUGCCAAAUCUUAGAUGUAACAGAAUAUUUAACAGACAACCUCGUUAAUAAGUGUUUUUUAAACUAAUGAAACAAGUACAAGAAAGUUUGUUGUAGAUUUUACAUGUGGUUGAUCCAUGCUGCGUCAACUAUGGAGAAGAAGAGUUCGUAGUAGUUGGACUAUGGCUCCCUCUCAUUUCUAACCACUCUAUUCAACCACUUUUCAAAAGUAACCAGUUUUUUUCGAGCUUUCAAAACUAACCAGUCUAAAUGAGGGGAGAAAACGCGACCCAAACCAGAAAAAUAUUCCAGUAAGGGUCGCGCUUUGAAAGAGCGACCCAAACAUAAAUAUAUACGUAUGGGUCGCGCUUUCAAAGGGCGACCCAUAUGGGUUAUUUUUUUAAAAAAAAAAUCAAAAAUCAGAAAAUAUUAUUUCAAAGGGCGACCCAUAUUAUUUAUAUUAUAAUAUUUUAUAAUAUAAUUUAUAUAAUGAUAUAAUAUAAAAAUAUUUUAUAUUAUAUAGUGAUACAUUAUUUGUGAUAUUAUAUUUUAUAUUAUUAUAUUAUGUAAUGAUAUAAUAUAAUAUUAUAGAUUGUAAUAUUAUAUUUUUUAAUUUAAUUUAAUUCGGAAAUAUUUUUUCCUUUAUCUAAUUUUUACCUAAUAUUUUUUUAUUUACCUAAUAUUUAUAGUUUAUUAAUUAUUUAUCUAAUAUUUAAAGUUUUAUUUACCUAAUAUUAAAAUGUGAUGCAGAGAAUUAUUUUUUGAGGAGUGUGCAAAUAAUUUUGAUUGUAUGGUCACAUCUAAGGCAGUAGGUUUUUUAGCUUUUUAUUACAAAACAUUGAUUUAACACUGGACAAAGCUGCCAACUUCAUUGAAAUCAUUCAAGAAUUCAAUAAGCCAGCCUGUUGUUACUGCUCAAAUAUUCACUUUUUUGCUGAGAGGACGUUUUUCUGCAAAUCCAUUAAGUAGAGAAAGCAAUCUGCAUCAAAUAUUCAAGCCUGUUUUCACUGCUGAAAGAUGACUUCUUUUGUGAGAGGACGAUUCUGCAAAUCCAUUAUUUGGAAAAAUCAAAUGCAUCCACUAUUCAUGCAUGUUUUUACUGCUGAAAGAAUGACUUUUUUGGUGAGAGGACGAUUCUGCAAAUCCAUUAAGUGAAGAAAGCAAAUGCAUCCACUGUUCAAGCACAGUGUUUUCUUUUGAAUUGUGUCCUUAUAAGCAGCAUUUUGUGUUCUUCAUUAUGCACCAAAACCAAAUCAGAAAAACAAACACUACAAACUCUCCCUCAUAUUAUCAAUCUGCCUUGUGAGAAAAUCCUAGCCGAACACGAAAAUCAUAAAAAAACACACACUUCAAAAACAAAGAUGGACGGAUACGUAAACGUUAAUUUCUUCUGGGGAGGUGAAAUCAUAAAACAAGAUAACGAUGUUCUCUACACCUUAGAUCCGAAAGAAAUGAUGUAUGUGAAAUUGAGCAGCUCACUUGAAGAACUACGAGAUAUGGUGUUCGGGUUGAUGCAUAUAAGUAGGCAUCAUUGGGAUGUCAAGCUUAGUGUGAAAUAUCCUCGAAUCGGGGUUAGUAACCUCGUUUCGGGGUUCUUUGUGAAGUCUGUUAAAUCGGACGACGAUGUUCGUAGGAUGUUAAGUAUCCCCGAGAGAUUUCACUUGGGUGGAGACGUAUCAUUGUUUAUCGAGGCCGAGAGUAUUGCUCAACCCAGCCAACACUAUGGAGGCGAGUAUGGGGGGAACUAUGGACAAACCGGACAAACCGCUGCAGGUGGCCAAGUUUCAAAUUAUGUUGAAAACUACGGUGGGAGUUUUGGAGGCGAUUAUGGGGGAAACUAUGGACAAAGCCAGGGCAUGCAAGGGUGGUCUAGCGGCUACAACUACGGGACGAUUGGAGAGUAUGGUGGUGGCUCGAGUAAUACGGGUCGUUUUGUUGUUGAAGAGGUUGUGGACGAGGACGAUUUGAGUGGUAGACAGCCAUCACCGGCUCGUCAAACCCCGAAAAGAGGUGCAGCUAUAGCUCUUGCAUUGGAGAACGAGGAGGAUGAUGAAGAGUAUGGCUCGGAAAGAGCCAUAAGCAGCAGUGACGAUUCAGAAACUACUUUAUCCAACGGACGAAGUCUGUCUUCUAAAAGUUUAUUUGUGAUAUUUUAUAAUAUAAAAUAUAAAAUAUCACAAAUAAUGUAUCACUAUAUAAUAUAAAAUAUUUUUAUAUUAUAUCAUUAUAUAAAUAAUAUUAUAAAAUAUUAUAAUAUAAAUAAUAUGGGUCGCCCUUUGAAAUAAUAUUUUCCGAUUUUUGAAUUUUUUUUUUUAAAAUAACCCAUAUGGGUCACUCUUUCAAAGAGCGACCCAUAUGACAAUAACUUCAGCAUGGGUCGCUCUUUCAAAGUGCGACCCUUACUGGAGUGAUUUUCGGUGGGGGUCGCGCUUUCUCGUUGAAUUAGACUGGUUUCUCGUUGAAUUAGACUGGUUAGUUUUGAAAGCUCGAAAAAAAACUGGUUAGUUUUGAAAAGUGGUCGAAUAAAAUAGUUAGAAAUGAGACGGAGCCGUUGGACUAUGGUGGUACAGUUCAUGUCGGUUGAUGCUUGAUGAGAUCAAUGCUGACAGUCGAUUAUGUAUAUUCGCCUACAUUUAUCUGGUCAUGAGGUCUGGUGGUGCUGUCGAAAUUUAAAAUUAAUUAUUAAUUAAUAAUAUUUUUACUUCCUCCGUCUCUUUUUAGUUGUCACAUUUCUAUUUUUGUUGGCCAAAUUGACUAAUUUUUGACCAAAGAUUAUAAAUCACUCUUUCAUUAUUUUAAAAACCUGAAAAUUACAUGUUAAUGUAGAUUAAAAGUUAUUUCUGGUGACAUAUUUUUUUUUAUUUUUUCAAUUGAUAAAAUAUUAAUAAAUUUCAGUUAAACUUUGGUCAAUUUAAUCGGCACAAAAUCAAAUGUGACAACUAAAAUAGAACGGAAGGAGUAUUUUUUUGAGUUAGCUUAUAUAGAUUUGACGUCAAACAAUACUACUGAAUUUAAUAUGUUUAUUAAAGUAAUUUAAAAUGAAAUUAUGGAAAUGAGUUGUUGAGAUUAGGAUAAGGAGGGUUGUUGAAAUUACCGAGAAUCAAUUUGAUUUCUGUAUGUUCGAGACAGAGAAGAGAUUUAUUUUCUUCGUUUUCUUAUGAAAAAAUAUCGAGACUAUAGAAGGGAUGUAGUAAUCCCUCUCUUUGUAACCUCCUUCUCUCUCAAAACCCUAGCCUCUCUAGCUUCCGUUAAAGAUUUUUGAAGGGGCUUCCAUCGGUUUUCACUGGUGGAAAGCCCCAAUUUCUUUUUUUUCUGUUUUCUUGUUUUGAAAUCUUAUUUCUCAUUCAAUAAGUUCCCAAUUUAUUUGGGUUUUGUUUGUCUCUCCUUCUUGUGAGAGUUGGUUUGUUUUGUUUUGGUGUGUUUUGAUGUUCUUCAUGACCGAGGUUAUAGAUCGGCAUGAUUUGCAUGGGUUUGAUUCAAAUUUGAAGGUUAUUAUGGGAUCGCAUCUAUGGUCGAUUGUUCAGAACACUCAGGGGUCGUUUGGUUCGAAGAGUGGUAUCGGGUUGGAAUGAGGAAUGGGGUUAAGCUGGUAUGGGUUUGAGGUAUCAUAUCUGAUAUCAUGUGUUUGGUUGAGUGCUGGAAUCAAUAUAUGCAAUCUUUGUAAAAAAUAAGUUAUUAAUUUAUAUUAAUUGAAAAAAUUAAUAAAAUUAUUAUUGUUAUAUAUUUUUGCAUCAUUGAUUUAAUUUUGUAUAAAACAUUAAUAUUUGAUUACUUAAAUAGAGACAAAAAAAUCAAAAAUGAAUGGAUACACAUACCUCCAUCUCAUACCCACCUCUACACCUAGGUAUCAAAAACUCAUACCUUGGGGGUUUAAGGUAUGGGUUUGAGAUUAUAUUUUCAUCAACCAAACACCAGGUAUGGGUUUGGAAUGGACAAACCCCAUACCUGAUUCCACAUACCAUGAACCAAACGACCCCUCAGGUGAAAACCAAUCAGAUGGAAACAAGUGUGUAUAUUCAAAUCAUCUUCAAAUCGCUCAGUUGCCUCUCCAAGAAAGAAGGAUUCAACAACGAUAUUCUUCAACGUCUGUCCAAUUUCGAUUGUGUUUGUAGAUGCCGUAUGGCUUUUAAUUAAUGAAUUGAUUCCUUGUUAUCAAAAAAAAAAAUAGAAGGGAUGUAUAUAUGGUGUUUAUAAAUAUUAAAAAGACAUAUGAUAACGUUAUCAGACGAGAUUAUGCGGAAGGAGGACCGCUGUUAUUUAUACGUAUAAUUCAAAAUAUGAAUUCAGGAAUAAGGAUAAGGUGUUCGGAUACUGGUGAUGAUACUCAAUAUUUUUCAAUUGAAAUAUGAUUGCAUAAAAGAUCAGUAUUGAGUCUAUUACAUGUUAGUUAAUUUUUGGAUGUGAUUAUUCAGAAUAUUAGUAUUGAAGAUUAUGUCUCAUGAUUCAAGUCUUUUAUUGAUGAUAUUGUGUUUUUGAUGGAGUCUAGGAGGAGAAUCAAUGUAAAAUUAGAAGAGUCACAUAUAGUUUUGAAAACAAAAAAUUUUCGUCUGAAUCAUUAAAAAGCAACAUAUUUUUGAGCUAAUAUCAGCGAGAAGCGUAAUGAAAAAGAUGUAGCGGUCAAUAUUACAGAUAAUACAGUUCCGCAAACUUGAUAAUUUGAAGUAUGUGGGAUUUGUUAUACAAAAUAACAGAGAUAUUAUUAAAAAUGUUACGCGUCAUAUUAAGACGGAAUGACUUAAAUGAUGUGCGGUCAUAAGAGUGUCUUGAUUUAUCGUCAAGAUUCGCGACUGUUAUUUUUCAUGAGAAAUAUUAAGAAUUGGGCAUAAAUUUUUUUGAUAAAAGUUUGUGAUUUAUAUUUUUAUUUAUAUAAGAAAAUUUUGAAAAUCUGAAUAUUAAUAAAUAAAAAUGUAUUAAACCAAAAUAAUUGUCAUUUUAUAACGGGGAAACUAUCCCAUUCAGUUUCUCUUUGAUGCUAAGCCCUGCCCACUGACCACGGUCAUUCCAGAGAGUCCUGCCAUUCCUGGUCAUUCUAAAGAGUCCUGCACAGGUGUAAAUACAUCGUAAAACAGCAAAAAUGGAAAAGAGUCGGUAAAAAAUUGCAGCACAAGCAACAGUUGCUACAGAUAAUUAGGUUUGACUGGUCAGUAGUAAAUGAUUUAUUCACCCCUGAUCCGCACGUGACAUAUCCACUGUCUAUUAAGUGUCCUUUCAUGCUAACACUCUCAGUCAAACCUCACUCACACUCCCCAUUGCCACCCUUGUCCCCAAAGCUUCACCAUGUAAUUUUCUCCCGUUUUUUAAUCGGUUUGUCUAGUGUGUGCACAUGGACACAUGUUAAGCACGGAAACUCAGAAUUUUGGUGUGUUUUGAUUGGUGUGAAUGCAGGGGGCCAUCGUUAUUAAAAGGGUGUAAACCAAUCAAAACAAGAAAAAACUAUCAAAGUUUGUGCUUAUUGUGUGCUCAUGAGCACACCAUAGAAAAAAAAAUUAACAGCUAAAUAAAUUUACACGCUCAGUUUUUUUAAUAAAGUCGGUGUUAUAAAAAGAGCGAGAGAGAUAUUAUUGAAUCAAAAUUGCGUUGAUUGUUAAACAAUUUUCCUUUCCACCAAUCACAUUUAUAUUUAUUUUUACCUAGACACACAUGAUAUUAUUUUUAUUGAAAGAAUUUAAUAGAAGAUGAUGGUAAAAAAUUAAGGAGAGAAUCAAGAAAUGAUAUCAGAAUAUAUCUCCACUUAUUUUGGCGCCAUUAAUAUCGGUGCUAUAUGUAUGCCGCACUUCCUAGAUUUUCUUUGCUUGUAGAAUGUAGGUUGAGAGAGAGAGAGAGACAAAGAGAGAUUGGGAGAGAUAGGGAGGGAGAGAGAGAGAGAGAGGGAGGGGGGGAGAGAGAGAGAGAGUGAGGGAGAGAGAGGGAGAGAGAGACAGAGAGAGGGACGGAGAGAGAGACAGAGAGAGGCACGGGGAGAGAGAGAGAGAGAGAGAGAGAUAACAGCCUAGUUUCAUGGCGGGUUCGCAUGCUAUUCCUUUUACUCUUGAUCAAGCCAACAGUUUAGAUGAUGAAAAAGGUGAACAACAGAAAGACAUGGAUAUGUUUUUUAGAAACCCAUGUGAUGAAGAUGAUGAUGAAUAUAUUCAACUAUUGUUACAUCGAGAACUCAGUAGCCAAUCUUCUUUGGUGAUUACUACUGGUGACUGGAUUGCGGGUGCUCGUUCGGAUUCGAUCAAAUGGAUCUUCAAUGUUAGUCUUCUUGAUCAAUUUUUCUCGUUGUAUUUGAUUUUUAAUAAAAAGGUCGUAUCUGAUGCACAAAACGUCAUGCAACUGAAUUGCAUUGUUGUGAAACAGGCAAUAACAUUGAUGGGGUUUCAACUUCACACAGCAUAUUUAUCGGUGACUUAUUUUGAUAAAUUUCUUUCCCUGAGAAUGAUAGAUGUAAGUCACAUAAACAUUUAUGAUUAAUUAUAUAUAAUUUUUAUUUUAUGGAGUUUUAUUGAAAUUAACGUACCAGAAUUAAUGCAGCGGAUCCUGAUUUAAUUUUAUUAAUUGGGAUCGGAUUGCCUAUGAAAUUAUGUGAUAAUCUUUACUGGUAUUUUGUAGGAUGAGAAGUACUGGGCUGUAAGAUUAUUAUCAGUGGCUUGUUUAUCUAUCGCGGCAAAGAUGGAGGAAUGCAAUGUUCCUUUGCUCGCGGAUUUUCCAAUGGAAGAUUAUAAUUUUGAGAGCAAAACGAUACAGAGGAUGGAGUUUCUGGUAUUGAAUACAUUGGAAUGGCAAGUGAAUUUUAUCACUCCUUUUCGCUAUCUUCAUUAUUUCAUUUCUAAAUUUCGGCACAAGAAUGAACCAAGAAAUGUGGUGCCAAUACAUCUCAUAUUUGCAGUAGUUAAAGGUGAAUACUUGUUCAUUCAGCUUAGUACUCUUAUUUCUAUUUACUGUCAUCCUCGAUUUCUUAAUGUACACAUUGACUGCUGUUGUGUGGAUCAGUGUUAGUCAAUAUUGAAAUAAUAAAAAUCCAUGUAUAAGUUGUAUUGAUUUGUGAAGAUGACAAAUAAUAUGGGAUAGUAUUUUUUUUUAAACAAGACUGAUAUUUUGAGACGGAGUAAUACACAUCUGCAUAUGUAUUGUGAACGUUUAAUUUUGUGCAGAUGUGAAUUUAAUGAAUCAGAGAUCAUCUGUCAUAGCUGCAGCAGCCACAUUGUUGGCACUCGACGAAAAUCUCACAAGGCAGGGCCUAGAAACUAAUAUUAAUUCUUUUGCUGAUGGGAUUCUCAAUAUUGUAAGUUUCGGGUUUUUGAAAAUCAUCAAUUGCUUGAUUAUGUUUUGGAAAUCUCCUGAUGGCAUUUUGAUGCAACAGGAGGAUGUGUAUCGUUGUUAUAAGCGAAUGCAGGAACUUAGUGCGGAUGAAACUAACUUAGUCCUGGACAAUCCUGCUUCAACACCGAUUCGACUGAUAGAGCCUAAUGCUUAUGAAAAUUCUUUGGUUACUCCUGUUAUGAACACCAGACGUAAGAGACUUGAGUUCAGCGAGUGUGAUCAAGAUUAAAACACGUGUCAUGGGUAGAAAUUUACCGAACAAGUUAGUAUUUAUGUUCCUUCUCUGCAAUGAUAUAUGAUCUGAGAUUUUCCACAAUGUCCUGAUUAAUUUAAAAAAAUACGAAAAAUAAGGUCGACAAAAAUGGAAUGCAAAGCCAAGAAUGGUGCAAAUGUGGUUUCUGAAAACAGGCCUUCAAAAAGCUAGUGAUUCUCUAGUUUGGCUCUCUGCUCAGUAUAUUUUCAGUUCCAUUAUCAUUAUUUUUCACCUUUCACUUUACAUAGGUGUGAAAAACCUACAAAAAUGAUUCUUGUAAUCCCAACUUUUGUUGGGUGUGCAAGGGAUGCUUACUUUAGGCUUUGGAAAUGCUGUGAAAAGGAAAGCAAUGAGAGGCUCAGGGUUUCUUUUUCAGGGGUUGUGAAGCUGUUUUUUUAUCUGUUUGGGUCAUUUGAUGCAUGUUGGUCUUCAUCAUAAAGGUGGGUAUUUGAUUGGAUUUGUAAAUGUUUGGAGAACAUUUGCUUUUUUACAGAGUGGAGUGGCCUCUGUUUCUUACAUUUUUUUUUAUGGCAAGAUUUUCAAGGGGAUCUAAGGUUUCUUUCAUUAACUUACGAUUCUUUGUGGAAUGAAGAUAAGUUCUUGGAACGAUAUGUGAUUUUAGUGAUGCAAUUUUUUUUCUCAGUACUUUAAUAGUUUGAGUAAUGUUUUUACACGCUUUUGCUUAGAUUGGUUUUAUGCAUGUCAUGUAGCGAGAAAUUGACUCAUUAGAGACGGUUUUAAGUUCGAGUUUCAAAAUGUAUUAGGUUUUAAGAACGUCUUCAAGUUCGAGUUUCAAAUUGUAUUAGUUUUAAGAUAUCUCAAACAUCUACUAUAAGCCGGAAGAGGUCUUGUCAUAUAAACAUCUCCUCCGUCAGAUUAGCUAUAUGAUGUCCUAAGUUAUAAUAUUAUAGUAUUGAGAAAUAUAUACAAAAUACUAAGGUGGAUUCCCUAUCUAUUCCUUAAACAAUUAAAGAUCCAUUUUUCAUUUCUUAUAAAUAUUUAACUUUCAACUUUUGUACACUUUCACAUUUUUUUAAUUAUCAUUUUUGUUAAAAUUUUUAAUACUAUAAUUAUAACAGGAAACAUGUUGGAGUUUUCAAUCAAUAAAAUAAAAUAACAAAUUUAUAAGUCAUAAUUCAUGAUUUUAAACUCGGCCGAAUCGCGUCUAAACAUGCUUAGAAACAUAUCGUCGGAAUUUAGCACUGAUUGUGAAAUACAAAUUUGAAAGCUCAUGAAAGUGACCAAAUUGUGUAGCAAUGAUAGAAGUAGGAGUGGGCCUUAAACUGAUCCAUGUUUGGAUUCUCCGAGCAAAUUAGGCAUCCGUAAUCAAAAAACUCUGCCAUGGUUGCAACUGAAUCAGCACACACGAACCAUGAUAAAACUGAUGUGCUUUCGAGCAGGCCAGACUUACAGCUGGGCUCAGGUGGGUCAAAGCCCGAGCAGAGUUUUCAAAAUAAUUUUUUUUUACGGGUUUGAAGACUGAAGCCCGGUCCAUUAUUUGGAGAAGCCCUUGCUAAUUUGGGCUUUGAACUAAUUUUGGCACAAUACUUGCACAGGAAUUAGCAAGUCUGUUCGGAAUUUGAUUCAAUUAACUUUAAUUAUAAAAUUUAAUAAAUAAAUUCGAUUAGCCUCAUUUUUGAAUAAUCGAGAUUAUCUAUUUUAUUAUCUAGUAUUUUUUUUUAAUAAAUCUCCAUGUGAAUAAAAUGUUACUCAGACUAUGGCGCCGUUUGGCGUGACUUAAAAAAAAUGACUUAUUGCUUAAAAUAAAAAUGUAGAUUAUAAGUGAAAAGUUGGUUUAGACUUAAAAGUUACUAAAGUGUUUGGAUAUAAAUUGAUUAUAAGUGUUAGAAGAAGCUAAAAUCCCAAAAUAAGUUAGGUUUUCUAGUUUUUUUUUUUUGAGCUUUUAAGUUUCAAUAUAAGUACUUCUCCAAACUUGCCAAACAUUUCCAUUUAAGCAGAAGUGAAUUUUAAUGUCAAAAAAGUUGAGAAGUCCUUUGCCAAACACCCGCUAAAUGAUCGUACACAAGUAACACAACCAUGAAAUUACUUUGUUCCAUCGGUGUACAUCUUCCUGCUUAUUCGCAAAUUGCAACAAUUGAUUUGCGGAGAUCUAUAUUCCCUGUCCUACCAAUGUCAGUGAGUCACGUUUGAAUAAUAGUGGAAGGUGGAUUCAUUAUUAUUCGAAUAUGAUUAAAGACAGGGACUCAUGUUAUGUUAACCUGUCCUUCCAUUGCUGCCAUUUACCACAUGAGAUUGCGAUUUCUUGUUUAUUCCUCUGAAUUUUUAUUUAAUAUUAAAUAUAUAUGGUGACCAAUCAAUUUUCUCUAGAUAAAUGUCAUAAUGAAACGACGUGUAACAUCUCCCGUCGUUUUUAUGGAAGUAGUUAACUUGUUAAUAAUAUGGGAUUUUCUAUGGUGUGUCCAAGGGCACACAAUAAUCCCUAAGAGCAUCUCCAAUCAUGAAGAUCCCUUAACUAAAAUCUUAGUUGUCAUACCAAAAAUAAAAGUUAUAGUUAAUGGCUUCAAUAAUUCACGCUCCAACCACCCCCACCUGUUAUCUAUAAUUAUAGUCAACCUUCUAUGGAUGACUAUAUUUGUCGAUCCGCUACAGGUCUGUAAGAAAAUCUAUAGGAAGAUUACACAUCACUUAUUACCAUAUUAAAGUGAUAUAUUCUAUUUAUAACAAUCCAAAAUAUUAAUAACAUACUAUUUUUAAAUUAUAGCCAAUCAAUAUAGCCAAUACCAUCGAAGCAAAAUGUCUUACAGGUUCGGCAAAUUUUACAUAAUCUCUUACAUGUCCAAUUUAGCCAACCAUUAUAGCCAACGCCGUUGGAGAUGCUCUAACUCCAAUAAAAAUAGCUUCUUUUGAUUGGUGGAUGGUAAUUAUUGAUAAUGGCCCCCUGCAUUCACAUCAACUCCACCUAUCAGAAUAGGCCAUUUUUAUAGAAUUUAGUGAUUCUUGUGUGUCCUUGGGCACACAUUAGAAAAACUGUAAUAAUAUAAGUCCACAAUUAUAUCAGUAGUGGUGUUUUAAUAAUAAUAAUUUAUUGAAAUUUGGAUAAAAAAAAAUUUAAGUAAAAAAAAUAAUUAAGUGAAAAUUUAUUGAUACGAACAAAAUCAACUUGGUUAGUACAAGAAAUUCGUUAAAUUUCAUAUAUAUAAAUAUAUACAUACAUUAAAAUAAAUAUUAAUAAAAUUUAAGAUACGAAUAAUGGUGAACACUAUUAUGUAAUUAUUUGUCAGAAACUGGAAAUUAAGAAUUUGGAAUACACUAUUUUUAUAAGGGCUUAGCCGAGUCGGGAAAAGAAAAACUGGGUUAAUUAGCUAAUUUCUUUGUUAUAUAUGUAGGUUAUAAGUUAUUGGUCAGGUUCGAGAUGAAACCACAUUAUACUUAGAAUUUAGACCCUACAAAGUACCAUUAGAUUUAAAUAAGAUGUGUGGUUAAAAUUAUUACUGGUAUUAAUCACAUGUUAUAUAUUUAUGUGACAUUUAUAUAUAUGCAUAUUUAAUAAAUGAGAGUUAAUAAUCACAUUUAUUACUUUUCAUGAUCAAUACAAAUCUUAAUUAAAUUUUAUGUAUAUAAAUCUUUAUAAGAAAAUUAAAUAUAUCAAAUAUUUAGUUUUCAUACAUGAAAAUACAUAACAAAUUUGUGCGAUUUAAUGAUAUGCGUGUAAAUGUAUAACAAAUUUACGUGAUGCUGUUGUAGCACUUGUACUAAUAUAAAAGAUGGUGUUAUAAUGCAAUAUUUUUCUAAAAAAAAAUAGAAAUACUACUAUAGUACGUCAAAUAUCAUACUUAUAUUAUUUAAUAAUUAUACCGAUACUAUUGCAAUACAUAAUUUUCUUUAAAAAAAUAUAAAAAUACUGCAGUAGUACAUCAAAUACUAAUAUAAAAGAUUGUGUUAUAAUGCAAUAUUUUUCUAAAAAACAGAAAUACAGCUAUAGUACGUCAAAUAUCAUACUUAUAUUAUUUAAUAAUUAUAUCAAUACUAUUGCAACACAUAUUUUUUUUAAAAAUAAAUAAAAGUGCUGCUAUAGUACAUCAAAUAUCAAACUUAUAUUAUUUAAUAAUUAUACCAAUACUACUGCGGUACAUUGAAAAUAUAAUAUCAAUACACCAGCUAUUUAAUUAUAGAAGAUAAAUUUAAAUUUUGCCACAUAUAAUUAUUGAAAUUAAUGCAUGCAUUAAUUACAUACAAUCAUAUAUAAAAGACAAAAGCACAUAACCAAUUUUAAAUGUGUUAUUUGAUUUUGGCUAUUAGUUUAAUCGGAAUCUAACUGGUUCUAAUCUGAACUUCUCCGUAUAAGUUGUAACAAGCUUGGAAAGCUUGUUUAUCCAAACAUACAAGUAAGCAUGAUUUUUGACCUUAAGAAGUUUGAAAUUUGCUUAUGUUAAAUACCUACUCAAUAUAAGUAAUUUCCAAAUUACAACUUGGAGGUUCGUAUAGUGUUUUAGUUUAUCGAAUUUAUUUUAAUAAAUUUCUACUUUUCUUUCAAUCAAAAUAUUACAAGUUUGUUUGUGUUGUACAAGUCACAUGACUCGGUCUCGUACUCGUUACAUUUUCAGAGGACAAAUCCAAACGAGUAGUAGAGGAUCGGGUGAAAAAUCGAGUUUGACCAAAUUCAGCAAAACUCAAGUUGACUCAGUUUAAUUUUUAAAUGUUACUUUUGUCAUAUAAUAAAGCCACCCAAUGAUAAAACUAUAUCGAUAUUAUUAAAAAUUCGAAUUUGAAUAGGAAUUCGGAUCAAUCGAAAAUAUUGAGAAAAUAAAAAUGGUGAAGUCCAUGAAUGGCGGACCUUGAGCCAACAGGCCCAGCACAAUAAAUGAACAGACAACAAAAAUUAGCUAUCUUUUUCACGUGCUCUCUCCAACUCAGAUACUCUCUUCUUCCACGUGUUCUCAUCAUCUCCUUCUUCCCCAUCUUCUCUCCUUUCCCAAACUCAUUCUCUCCCAACCUCUACACACACCUAUACACACACACAGCGACUCUCACAUCUCCGGUUAAUCGGAAAACAUGGAAUCCGAUAUCCAGACGAAGUUCACUUACCUCGGAAGAACUUUCAACUCGCUCAACAUCGGCGACUCGUCCGCCGCUUUCAGCGACUGCAACAGCGACCGGUCCGGCGAGUUCUCCACGACGUCGACGCAGAGUCGGCGGCUGCUGACGGCGACGUUGGCGGGGAACUCCGAUGAUUACGUGAUAGAGCAGCUGGUUUCUGAUCUGCAGUCGAGCUCGGUUGAUGAUCAGAAGAUGGCGGCGAUGGAGCUGAGGCUGUUGGCGAAGAAUAAGCCGGAGAAUCGGAUUAAAAUCGCGCAGGCCGGCGCGAUAAAGCCGCUGAUAUCGCUUAUUUCGUCAAUUGAUCCUCAAUUACAAGAGUACGGAGUGACGGCGAUACUGAAUUUAUCGCUGUGCGAUGAGAAUAAGGAGCUGAUUGCGUCGGCCGGCGCGAUUAGGCCGUUAGUGAAGGCGUUGAGGAUCGGGAAUUCGACGGCGAAGGAGAACGCGGCUUGCGCUUUGUUGCGGUUAUCGCAGAUUGAGGAGAAUAAGGUUGCGAUCGGACGGUCAGGAGCGAUUCAGCUGCUCGUUAGCCUUCUGGAGACGGGGAAUUUGAGAGGGAAGAAGGACGCGUCGACUGCGUUGUAUUCGUUGUGUUCGGUUAAGGAGAAUAAGAUUAGAGCGGUGGAGGCGGGGAUUAUGAAGCCGUUGGUGGAGUUGAUGGCGGAUUUUGGGUCGAAUAUGGUUGAUAAGUCGGGGUUUGUGUUGAGUUUGUUGGUGAGUGUGGCGGAGGCGAGGGUUGCAGUGGUGGAGGAAGGGGGAAUUCCGGUGUUGGUUGAGAUUGUGGAGGUUGGAUCGCAGAGGCAGAAGGAGAUUGCGGCUGCGAUUUUGUUGAAGUUGUGUGAGGAUAGCUCGGUGUAUCGGACAAUGGUGGCGAGGGAAGGUGCUAUACCUCCUUUGAUUGCGUUGUCACAAUCCGGUACUAGUCGGGCUAAAGAGAAGGUAAAUUUAAUUAGUUAUUUACUUUUGUCAUAUUAUGCUGCAAUUUCAAUUUCGAUUUAUGAUCAUUUUAUGCAAUUGAAUUUAUGCCUAUUAGAUUGACACAGUAUAGGUAUAUUGUUGUGAGAUCAAUGUAUAGAUCGAUUCAGUAUACUUAUAAUACAUUAGUUAGAUUGAUUUCGUUACUUUAAACGUAGAAUUCAGAGAGAUUUGUCAAGCCAUUUGAAUACCCAUAUUAGCAAUAUGUAAUUCUGGGUGAAAUGGGAGCCAUCAUGUUGCCAGAGUGCUAGUAAAAUCUAUACACUUCUGACAUUUCUAAUUUUUCUUAGUCAGUGGAAGUGGUCAAUAGAAAUCUUCUUAAAAUGUCACACCCAUGGUGGUCAAUAAAAAUGUUCAAUAACAAAAAAGAAUUAUUAGUCACACUCAUGGUGGUGAAAAGAUAUAUUAGAUAACGAAGACUUUAAUAUUCAUCCUCUUGACUUUACUGACUCGACCUUACAGCUUCUUACCAUAUUACCCAUAGCAGAAGGUAUGUCCUUACAGGAUAGCAAUAUGCAUGUAACUUAACAAAAUUAAAUAAAUAAAACAAUAUGGCAUGAAGAAGUUUGAAACUUAAUUGCCAGUCCCUUCUGCUACUUAGAAAAGCUAUUACCAAAGAGAAGUUAGGGCGAAGACUUUUUAAUCACAAGAUGAUGAUGCCUUGAUACAGUUCCACAAUUCAGAACAUUGGCCCAAGAUACAAAAUAAAUGAGCAUGGGAGACUUGCAUGUCAUAUGUUUCUUUUUACUGCUUUGGGGAUCUCUCGAAUACUUAUGUGGGAGAUGCGUAUAUCUCGAUUAUACAUGAGUGAGAUGCGUAUCUCCAUGCAGUGUUCUUCUUCUUCUUUUUAACUCUUUACCGUAUUGGUAUAGGAUGUGAUAUUCUGAAUUCUUCCGUCGAACUUGUGCUAUUGUCGUUGCCGCUUGUUUAAAUUGUAGUAUAUGCUAUUCAAGACAUUUCUGAUAGACGAAGUGGUCUACAAGAACAGGGGAUACCAAUUAAUAUGAUUUUGUAAAAGGAUCAGUGUUGAGAAAUACUAAUUUUGGUAUGGUGUCACUAACCAUGAUUUGAUUUGUAAAAAAAUCUCUGUUGAAAAAUGCUAUUUGUGGUAUGGUGUCACUAACCAUGAUAUGUUAUGUUAGGCUAAAUAUUACUUUACCUAGAUAUUAAAAUGUGCAUGUAAGUUGAUCUAGAAUAUUUAACUACAUUUAUCAGCUGGUGGCCACCGAAGAAGUCGCAACAAGGUGAACUAGUGGCAUUUGUUUAUUGCCCAUCUUACGGAGUGACUUGAGUAAUUAUAAAUAGUUUCUUUUUGUAUGGAGAAUAUAAAAUUGCAUUAGAAUCUUCACGUCGUGUUUAAAAUGUUUUGUACUAAUCUGGAACAAGUUUAUUCCUUCACCAAGUUAAUUGGGCACCAUAAAGAGUGCAGGUUUUCUUUGGAGUCUACCAGUUGGAAUAUUAAUAUGUUCCUUUUUAUCUUAUACAACCCUUUACCCAACAAACAAGUUAACCCAGCCUUUCACUUUGCUAAUAGAUUAUUCUUUUCUUUUACUUGUUUUAUUAAAUUUGUUUAUUAAUUAAUAUGGUUGUGCUGAUUGAGUAAAAGACGGGGGAGUCCCUGAUGUGUGCAAAUUUUGUCUUAUGUACAGGCGGAAACACUGGUUGAACUUCUACGCCGACCAAGAUCCGGUAACACAGCUGCCAGGACGUCAGAUGUUUCAGAUUAAUCAAAUGCUUCGCGUGAUAUAUUCUAAUUGAACCCUACAUCCACCACACAAUAGACAAACAGGAAGAAAACAAAAGUUAAAAAGAAAUUCAAAUCUCAGGCAAAAAAAGAAGUUAAGGAGAGACAUCAAUUUAGAAUAUGGUUUUGUAUAUAUACAUAUAUUGUAGUAUUAGUGCAAGGAGCUUUGUAAAUUGAUCGAGACAAUCAGGUUCCGGUUGUGCAUGUUUGAUUUUGGAGAGAGCUCGGGGUUCAGAGUUUUGAUGUACUGUUGUUGAUCCGUUAAAGGUACGUCUGUUAUCCAGAGUUUAAAGUGUGUUUUGCGAGUUUGCCUAUAAUCCGAGUAGAAGGAGAGUUCAGAACAAGUAGACUGGUUGGAACUCAGCCGGAGAUGGCUAUGCUUAUCGCUCACUUGCAGAAUAACCUCGGCUUGUGUAGUGUGUCCAAUGUAAUAAAUUUACGAAGAAAAUGUAUGGUGGUUCGACAAAGCAUCAUGUUUAAUAGAUGAGAAUUGAGACGUGCAAUGUAGACUUUGUAAGAGACAAACAACUGUAAUGUCAAUGUACAUUUACAAGUCUUUGGCCCUCAGUUUUGGCCUCUGGGGACACCUUACUCUUAAUGAAAGAAACAGAGGCAUGAGAUGAUUGCUUGUCGUACAUAAUAUUAUAGGCAUUUUACAACAGAGCCAUGUGAGAUCAAUUGGUUAGGUACUUUGAAUUCAGUUUCGCUGUACGGUACGAUGUUAUUUUCUUUUAAAUGGACAGAUCGCUUGAAUUUGGACUAUUCCCAUCAGUGAUGAUCUUUUUGCUAAAUUCAUAUUUGAUCUUAAUCUUAAGAUCUCAAAUGAAUAGUUCAAAUUGUAGAUGAUCCCACUCCGCGUCAAAAAAAAAAAUUCAUGCGUUUUCUUAUUAAAUCGAAGACGUCUUUUUAAUAAACCGAAUCAUUUCAUUUGUACCACUAAGAGCAUGUUAUAUACUCCUCCGUCGCCUUUUAUAUGUCCCUAUUUGACUUUUGACCAGUCAAAUUGAUCAAAUUUUGACUAAACAUUACAAAUUAUCUCUUCAUUAUUUUUGAAAUUUGAAAGUUGCAUAUUAAAAUACACUAAAUAUAUUUUCAAAUGAUAUAAUUUUUAUUAUUUUUUGAAUUAUAUGAUAUAUGUAAAAUUUCAGUUAAAAUAUAGUCAAUUUGACUGGUCAAAAGUCAAAUGGGGACAUGUAAAAAAGAACGGAGUGAGUAGGUUUUUAAGUCAUUUGAAAUACUUUUUUCAAGAAUUUAAUGUGCUGAAACAGUCAACAGGAGUUCUGUUUAGUAAAUUUAAACAAUUUGUGUUCAUUAUAUUCUUUAGUCUUUACGAUUCCUUCACUUCAUGAUCUAUGUGUGCAACUGAAUGUAUCCAGAACUGAUCAAACACUGAGUACUGGUAUAUUCUUGUGAGAUCAACGUAUAAAAUUCUCAUGUACAGAGUGGCGGACCAAGAUUAUAUUUUACUGCGGCACAGCAACUCAGUUAAACAAGUUUAUAGAUUGUAUAAUCCAAAACAACUUUUUUCCGAAAAAAUCGAGUUGCUAUGAUUAUAUAUUGAUUGUUGAUUUUGGUUGCAUCGGGGUGCAUACGGUUGCAACAUGGUAAAUUUGCAAAAGUAUUUAAAAAAUAAUGUUUUUGCAAAUUUUAAAAACACCCCUAAAAUAUAUGUAAUAUGCUUUAAAAUUUAUUUUUCAGUUUUCUGAAAUUAUAAAAGAGCAAUUGACAAUUUUUAGUCAAAAAUCCGACAAUUUAACCAUAAAAAAUUAAAAAUGUACUACUAAUUAGAACCGAAGAAGUAUAAGAAUACGCCGGGGAAUAUGAGGACUAGAAAUUAAUUGUUUAAACCUUAAUCUCAUAUCUUGCCACCAAGAAAAGCUCAUACCUAAAUUUGUUUAAGAGAGGAAGUCUAUCCUUAAUCAAGAAGAAAUACACCAUUUGUGAUUGGUUUUGUAAAAGGAUAAAUUUUAAGAAAUACUAAUUGUGGACAUUUCACUAAUUAACUACAUUAUGUUAAGAUCAAUGUCACUUUAUUAGGAUUAUAAAAAUAUGGAUGCAACUUUGCUCCAGAAUAUUUAACCACAUCUGUGACCUGGUGGACACCGUAGAAUUCGCAACAAGGUGAGCUAGUGGAGCUAAUUAAGAAAUUUCGGGUAGUUUGUUUUGUUCUUGUAUGUAGCAUAUUAAUUUCGCGGAAUCUUUCUGUCCUGUCCGAAACGUUUCGUGUAACUGGAGUACUGGAAAGUACAAAAAUUACAGGGUUUUUUUGGAGUCUGCCAGUUGAUAAACAAUAAAAUGUUCGUUUUCAUCUGACAAAACCUUUGCCAAAGAAGUUAAGACAAUCCAUCAAGUGGCUAAUAGAUUAUGCUUUGGGUUUUCUUGUUUUUUGUUGAAUUGUUUUGCUUGGGGGACACAUAGAAGGCUCUGAUGCGCGUGCAAUUUCUGUCGUUAUGAACCCCCACGGGGACUAAGAUCCGGUAACAUAGCUGCCAGGACAAUGUUCGAUGUCUUAUAUAUUGAUCAAAUGCUGCCAGAACCUUGUAUAUUGCCAGGACAAUGUAGGAUAUUUUUUAAGCAAACCUCCAUCCCGGACAGGAAAAAACAAAUGGUUAAAAGUUUUAAGUCCGCGACUAAGAAAAUCAUUUUUUGUGUAUGUGCACUUUAGAAUUGCUGCUAGAACCUUGUAGAUUGAUCCAGAUUCGAGACAAACAAGUUUUGUUUGUGUAUGUUUAGCUGUUUUCCGAAUUUAAAAUUUAUCAAACAGAAAGGGGAGAGUUCAGAAAAAAGAAUACCAGGGUCCUACAAAGGGAUCCGAACUGUGUAUCAAGAGCAUAUCAGCAGAUCAAGUCAUCUGUAGUGUAAGUACUACGUGUCAAAUGUUAUCAGGAUGUAAGUGGUUGCAAGAAUGUGUCUAGAUUAAUAGACGGACUGAAACAGCCACAAUGUCAGUGUAGAUUCUAAAGUCUCAGCACUUGAGAAAGGCGAAUAGUAAGAUAAAUUGCAAUUCAUCAUCUUCGUUGAUGUGAUCAUAGCUUCUACCAGAAAAGAUACAUAGGGGCUUCUGAGGUUUUUCCAGGGCCAAGUCCUGGUCAGUAAUAAAAUGGAGAAAACGGGAGCUGUCACCAGUGGCGGAACCAGAGAAACGGACAAAAUAUGCUAAAAUGUAAGUUUUGCGUUAGUAAGAUCAAUAAAACGGAGAAAUGUGAGACGCACUAGAAAGCCUUUAUGUUAACAUAGAGAUCAAUUGAUCAUAUGCAAUGUAAUUCUGAGUUUGGCUUUGUGGAAUUACAAAGUAUAUCGACAUCAAUUAAUAAAAUGCUCUAAUUCUAUUCCGUUGUAACAUGAAUCAAAUGCAAUUGUACAUUCAGAAUUAGUGAAGUGCCUAGAAUCUUUCAGCUGUUCUUGUAUCAUGCUGUGGCUCUGGGCUAUGUUCGAUUGCGAAAAUCAUUACAUCUGCACUUUCUCCAUCUUCUUUGAAUUAUGCUAAACACUCAUCAUAUCUACUCACAUUCAACUUCUCCAGUUUUUUUAUGUUUCAUCAGGAACGAAGUUGUGCCGGAUCUGGGCCUGCUGAAGAAGAGCUGACAUAUUAAAUUCUGCAGGUUCUAGAAUUAAGAUGCUAACGUCAAGUGAAGGACUCUCCUAAAAUCUCGAGUUAUUAGUAGAAGAGGCAAUCACCCGCACACAUUUCUCGGACUUUCAUGUAUAAAAAAUAAAAAUAAUGAGAGUGGCAUGCAAUCAAACUCGAGUCUGAUAUCAUAUCAAGUGACCGGUCCUGAUAAAAUCUCGAGAAAAACCUUCUGUAUCAAAUUGACCGUGCCUGCACGUACUAUCCGUGCAUUUAUAUGUACAUUAAAACCAAGUCUUCCUCUGACAAGAGUACAACGAAGGUGCAUUUUGUUGAAUUAUUGUAAAAUGUCUUGCACGUAAACGAUACUCUGAACUUGAGCUUGCCAUGAUAUUUCUUCCGCAAUUAAUGGAGAUCAGACUGCUGAGGACUUUGAGACGCCAGCCAUGCACAUCGUGCAAACGUUAAUUACUGAUCAACAACAAUCUCAAAGAUUUUUACUUUGUAGAAAAAUAGGUCUUUGUGCAGAUCCUAUUCAAAUGUCUAUUGAUAUAAUUUCAGUCGAAUUUAUCGGGCUAUAACUAAAAAAUAAGUUCUAUUCAAAUGUCUUCGUGUGCUAUAAAUCCACGUUCUCGAAUAAUUCUUGAGUUGAAUAAAAUCGGGUAUUGACCCGAUCUAUCAACUUUUUUUAAGGAAUAACGUUCUACAUAUUAUUACAGGAUAAAAUAAAUUUAAAUUUCAUUUUGCAAUUCAAAAUGCUAGACAUGUUUAUCCUUCGUUCACUUCUUAACGCAAGAUUGUGGAAUAAUUUGGAGUCCUAGAUAUCAAAUAGUGUUAUAUGUUAUAAUAAUAUUUGGAUUUAAACACAAAAUGAUAUAACGUUUUUUUCUAGAAAGCAAAACCUUGAAGUAACAACAUUAUUCGUUAAUAAGUACUAUAACUCUCACAUUUUUUUACAAUUCUCAUAUUUUAGACAUUAUUUGAAAAAAUUGUGAUAGGAGUACCUUUUCGCAGAAAAAUCAAACCUAACACCAUAGUUUAUAAGAGAUUUAAAUUUAAAAGAAGUUGGACCUUCUGUGAUAUCUAUAAGAUCGAUAUUUACCACCAAGUCUUCACCUGCCAAUUUAUAUUUUACCAGAAUUAUAUUAUCAAAAGUUGAUUUUAUUUUGUCACCAAGCACUUGUCCUGCACAAGCAAUCAUUAGGCCAAAAGCCUUCAAUUAUUAGGCCAAAAAGCCCUCUGCUGUGGACGUAGAUAUUUUGUUUUAAGAUUUAUUCUUUAUAAAAGAUAUUAUAUUAAUAUUUAUAUAAUUUAAAAAUUAAAUCAAAUUAUUAUCAUUAUAGGUUACAAAUUUAGGUAAAUUAUAUAAGUAGCAUUUUCCUCUAACUUAUGAUUAAUCUAAUGCUUGGAUGCAUUAUGGCUUAUAAUAUGUAAACAUCAUAAACAUUAAUGUUGAAACUUACAGUAAUUUACAAUGAUGAUACAUAGAGCUCAUGGUUCAAAUCAUGAACUUCAAUAUUUACAUAUGAUCAAAAUCACCAAAACUCAGACACUUAAACAAAAAAAAAGUAUUUAAGGAUCAAAACUCAAGCAAAAGCCAGAUAAUCAAGCUUAAUUAAACGUUUUAUCUUGGAAAACUCCUCCGAUGAUCUUGCUGUGGUGGGGAAGCUGGUGUUGGAGGCGUCUUGAUUCCAUUAAGCACACUCCGCGGAGAAGAUAAUCCAUGAUCACUGAUCCCGGUCUUCACAAACUUAUUAUUGUAACUCAUAGCUUUCUUCAUCACCUUAGACUUCUUUAAAUUUGAUAUUUCAUGAUCACUAGUUGUGGCCAAGUUGCCACUAUAGCUCAAGGCCUUGGCAUAAUCUUUCUUCAUGGCCUUUGUCUUGAUAGUCUUGGUCUUCUUGUAAUCGAGGCUCUGGAUCAUUGGCACGAAGUACCAGCAGAGAGUUGUGCACAAUAUGGCGAAAGACCUUCCAAAUAAUAUCAAAAAAAUUAAUAUAAAGAUUGUAACCAUAGGAACAUAAUAUGCAGGCCGCCUCAAAUGCUUUAACAUCAUUUUCUUAAGAAAAUCGGAGGUGAUCUUCCUAGGAGAAAUCUUUGUAUUCGAUACGAUUUGAGACAUUGCUCUGCCCUGAUCAACCUUAGCAACAUUAGCCGGCUCGAUCUCAGAAGUACUAAUAUUAUCAGUACUUUUAGGCUUGUCUUUUUCACUACUUAUGUUAGGCUGUUUCUUGUUCUUCAAUCUGACAACAAUAGGCUUAUAAUCAUCGGACUUUGAGUAGACGAAUCCGAGAAGAGAAAUAUCCUCUGAGCCCUUCUGCGUAUAAAUCUUCUGUCUCUUCGAAUCAAGCUCAGCCAGAAGUGCAGAAAAUUUUUCAAGCCCCCGGUCUGCAUAAGGGUUCCUGUUACCUUUACUUGAUUUCCCACCAAAGCUAUGCCAUUUGGCAGGUUUUCGAGAUUUCGGACUCGUGCAUGACCUUAAAAGCUCUAAAUCUUCAUCUUGUUGAUCUUGAAAACUGCCACAGAUAAGAGGACUGAUCAUUUUAGGAUGGAUGGUGAAAAAUGGUUUAGAAUAAUGCAACAAUGAGAGUUUGAUUAUGGGAAUGAUGACUUGUAGAUGUUUUCUAGAAAAUGGUAGGAACACUUGGAAAUUUUAUGCACGACAACAAUAUUUAUCAAAGUUGUGGUGGUUUAGACUAGAUCUAGACAAUGGGUUUGGUCAAUUUAUGAGAAAAUAAUUAAAUUUUGUGGAAGCUUCUAAAGGAUUUGUACAACUUGACUUCCUUGCGCCAGGGUUAAUCUAUAUUUCAGAUAGUCCGGAUAUGUGGUAUACUUCCGAUGCAGCAUAUAAUGAGUAAUUUUUGAAUUUUAUAUAUCUUAUACAAAUAUAUGGGAUAGUUAUAUUUUUUUAGCGGAAAAAUCAUUUAUUUUAGAAUAUUUAAUAUUGAGUGGAUUUUUUUGGCUGAACUUAUUUUUCUUAUAAUCAAUUGUUGUGGAUUAUUAUCAUGCAAUUUAUCAUAAAUAGUUUAAUCGAUUAAAACUGAUAAGAAUGAUACUCGAAUUUAAUGGUAAUUAACAUGUUAAUUAUUGUUCGUCAAAAAAAACAUGUUAAUAAUUGAAGAUUAGUUGGAUAAUUAGAGAAACUAAUCAAUAUUGUGAAACCAAAUGAAUUAAAAUAUUCCAAAGAUAAUAGGUGAGAUGGUCAACUUUCGAUUGCUACGUCACGACCCAAGUCAUCAAGACUCAGGUCAGUCACUUGUGUGUAUUUUUUUUAGAUUUGUAUAUUUUUAAUAAAUCUAGAUCCGGAUCAAGCUUACAACAACUGCUAAUUACAAAACGAUGAUUUAAAAUUAGAGAUUAUUUUUAAAGGAACUUAAUAUUUGGUAUUUGGCAGGUAAGGCAAUUUGUUAAACUGAAUCUCGUAAUUACAUUCACUACUAACAAAUUUUUAAACUUUCAACAAUAAUAUUUAAUUUAAUUACAAUAAUUUAUUAGUACGAUACAUCAGAUGUUGAAAAAAUCAGAAAUAAAUUGCAUGGACAAUGAGAAACUACUAGAGGCGGGCCAGGUGGCUACAGAGGAGUGGGGCCAUGUGUAUCCACAUGGAGACUUGUAAAAGUUAACAGCAUAAGAUAAACAGAAUGCAAAGUGUGUUUAGCAUGGUAAUAAUAUCAGAAAGAAAGGCAACUCGGUUGGAUUAAGGCUAAUCAUUUUAGGUUAAGACACGCUGAAACGAAGACAUCAAAUGGUUGGUAAUUGGUAUGCUUAGCCUAUUGCUUUUGACGAUAAUAUAAAUUAUUUUUGUGUGAAAAGUACAAGCUAGUACAUUCCUACCUCUCGUCUUAGUUGUCUUUCUUGGAAAAUAUGGGCGAAUAGAUAUUUAUUAAUCAUUAUUAAAGUAUUAUUUAAAAUUUAAUGGAGAAUAUCGUAUUGGAUUAGCCUUCUUCGACAAUAUUUAAUUUCUAAUCACACAAAUUAAUUUCUAAAGUUUUAUACAUGAUCGAUCGAGUCAACAAAAAUUGUCUUGAUAUUGUACGUGGGAUCUUGAUGAAAAAUUAGGAUAAAAAUUAAAAUAUAUUAUUAUUUAAGGAAUAUAAUUUAGAUCUAAUAAGUCAUAAUUUUAAACUAUGCAUUUAAUAUACAUUAUUCUAAGUUAAUUUUCGUUAAAUCUGAUCACGAUGGUCAAGAAAGUAAAAUUAAUAACGAAAUCUUCAAGUUAACUAAUAUAUGUGUCAUACUUUUUUACUCGAAUUUAUGAUAAUAUAUUUUAUCACAUAAUUUAAAUGAUAUGAUAUUGAAUAUGUUACUUAUAUAAUUAAAUUUUUUAACAAGAAAUAUAUAAUUAAAUCAAAGUUAAAAUUUGUACAAAUACAAAAUAUAACUAUAUAAGUUAAUAUUGGUACAAUACUGCAAUCUAUUAAAUUUAAAAUUUAUCUGGUUAACAUAAUUAAUAUUGCAACUUAUAUUAUAUUUAAUUUAAAACUUAUAAACUUAAAUAUUUAAUAAAUUUUGUUUUUAUACUUAUUAUUUGAGUAAUCAAUUUUAGAAAUAUUUGUUAAUAGGGUGCAUAGUCAAUGCUUGAAUUAAAAUUUAAAACCGUAGAAUGUUAUUUAAUUAUUUUUUUCUAAAACCGCAAGAAACCAUAGAACACCAAAUACAAUCACCCUAUUUAUAUGAUUAAACUUCUAGAAAUCUAUAUUACCUGAUGCAUGUAUUAAAUCACGUUUUUCACCAAAUUGGACCCCAAUAUUGAAAGCGAAAUAAUAAUUUUAACUUUUCUGCAAUUAACUUUCCAAAAAAAAAAAAAACUUUUCUGCAAUUAAUACUUUUAUUAAAUAAAUAUUAAUUUUUGCAAGAACUUUUCCCAGGAAAUCGUGGAUUGUUUAGAGAUCGUCUAAGAUUAUGGAUACUCUAUCUUAUGAAUAAAGAAAAUAAUUAACAUUUGGAAAAAGAAAAUUUAAUAUUUCCCAAUUUCCAUGUCACUGUAAACUGGAGUCCGCUUUCUGUAAACGUAAAGGAUUAUUACAUGACCCGCAAUCCCGCAUUAUGAUGGAUAGUAAUGCCCAGACCACUGAACAAACACUUGAUAUUGGGCCACCAGGCUUGGUGGCAAGAAAGCCCACUUAGCAUGAUAAAUCUGCCCACUAAAUCCACUAUAGCAAGCUAGUUGGAUAUAAUUUGAUCAAGUUUUAUAAUAUCUAUGAACAUAAUUAAAAUGUUAUCUUUUGCCAAUAAUAAGCCUAUAAAGUGUGAUAUAUUUGUCAGCUAUCCUAUUCUUUUAAAAAAUGUAAAAAAGAAGAUGAAAUUUAUGGACAAUCAAAUUCAAAAUCACUAGCCGAAGCCCAGUCCAGAUUGAAAUCCUGAGGAAUUUCGAGUAAUUCUUCAGCGAUGUCAAACUUAAUUAUAACAAGGUCCAAAAAGCUAACUUGUUCUUUUACAUAUGUUUGUUUUUCUAGUAGUACAAAUUUAACAUUCUUUACUUUUAAACCUGAGUUUAAAAGAGUUCCUCUGGAGUUUGCGAUAAUUAAUUUCUGAUUUCCUAGCCGAACAAAUGACAUUGAAUCGGGUUCUUGCAAGAGUCCCUUUGCAAUGUUUGCCUGCCUGGUUAUAAUCAUGAAUGUUUCUGCUUGUAUUGGCUUAUCAAACAUGCUCCCACAUGUAUAAAAAAGUUUGCUCUUUAUUUAUAUCCAUUAUCAAUCAUUAGGGUAUCAUAGCACUAUCAUCUGCAGACUGAUACAAGUACAUAACGAUGCCGGAGUUCUCGUAAUAUCAUAUUUCGAAUAUAAUUAUGUGGUUUCAUAAAUUUUGAUUGACUCGAUCUCACAAAUAUUUAUCAUUCCGAAUAAAAUGACAAAUUUUAAUUGACUCGGCCUUUAAAGUAUUUAUCAUUUUGAAUGGAGACUGAAGUGACAAAUUUUGAUGGAUCUGAUUUCAAUAUUUGUUAAAAAAAAUUAUAAUCAUUUUUUUAUUAAUCAGGAAAAAUUUCGAAAUAACACUACACCAUAUUUGGUCUAUCCUAACAUUGCAUAAUGAUGUUGCCACUAAAAACGUUGCCUUAGAUGCUUAAAUUUGAUUGAAGUGGGUGUAUACCAACAUCAUAUAGCGGUGUUGCCAUUGAUACGAAAACUGUUGCCUUAACCACAAAAAAAUCUCAAUGCCAACAUCUUGCCAACACAUUCGGAGAUGUUGCCUUAAGUAAUGAAAAAUGUUUUAAAAGUUUGGUGGGAAACAAAAAUUCAGCAGCCCGCUCAAAACGAAAAAUAGCCGCUCAAGAUUAAAAAAAAUAGAAAAAUAAAACAUAUCAAUUAAAAACAUAUCUUUCACCCUCAAAACAUAUCACCGUCUCAAAAAAUGUAAGUACGUGAGCUUUCACCCUCUCUCACUAUCUCGCACGUUCUCACCCUCUCUCACCGUCUCGCUCUAACACUCUCUCACUGUCACUAUCUCUCGAACGAAGUUUAAUUAGGUUUAUUUUAUGUUGCCUGGAGUUUAAUAGGUGUCGGAGUUGAAGUCGGGGCUUCAGAGCCGCGCGAUUUGGUCGGAAUCGGAGUUGGAGUUUUGCUAUUUGAAUCUUCGAUUGGAGCUUCAAUUUUUUGGUUUGUUGUUUCAAUCAUCAGGUAUUUUUCAAAACAUACCCAUUUGAUUUUGUUUAAGAACCCUAGAUUUUUGGGGGGUUUUCUAGGGUUGCUGAUUGGGGGUUUUCGAAUGCUUAGUAAUCGAGGGUUUUUGAAUGCUUACUACUUGUUUGUUUAUGUGUGCUCUAUUUAUUAUUUUGGGGUUUUGUAAAUAAUGGUGGGUUCUUAAUAAUUGGAUUUUUGUAUGUUUAUAAUUGCUCUGUUUUUGUCUUGAAUUAUAAGCCUCGUUGUUUUUAAUAAUUUGUAUGCUCUGUAGCUUUGUUGUCGUUCCUGUUUUUAUUUUGAUUAUGCAACUGAUCCCUCUGCUCUAGCUUUAUCCGUGAAAAAAAGAAUGCUGGUUUCACUUUGUGAAGUGUGUGUAUUUUUGUAUCAGAAGUACCCAAAAAUCGCUCCUCUAUACCAGUACAAACUAUGUAUACAUGUAGUUGGGGCUGUUCUUGAAGGUUGAGUUUCACCUUUCUCGAGGUAAAUUCACCAAAACCAGGCAUCUUUCAUACAUUUAUGUACUCCUGUGUUACAACAAAUCUAAAACAUUUACCUCCUGUAAAUAUAUAGAAGUAUCAUAGAUGCAAAACAUAAACCCAUACUAGCAUUUCUGCUCUAUGUUUUCUUGUAUAGAUGUUUUCUUAUUGACAUAGCUCUAAUGAACUCAAGCUUGUGGAUUUGGUUACAACUAUACUCAAGGUUUUAAAUUUUGUAACAGGUGAAUAAAAUGACAAUAUAUGCAAUGAAACAAGCUGUAAAGGAUCUGCUGAAAUUGAAGGUACUUGUUUGAUUAGAGUGUGACCCUUAAGUUUGAAAUAAGCUUCUAUGCAUUUUCUAUUUUAUAUAUCAUUAAAUAAUCCAUACAAUUAAGGGUAAGUAUUGUCAAUAUAUGUGCAUUAAAAGAAGUUUAAUUUUUUUAAUCAUCUAUGUAAGUGUUUGUACUGAUUCCUAUGCUUCUUUUUUUGAACGGAGUUGGGCCAUAUAAGUAGAGUUUUAAAUCACGGAAAACACCGUUUUUCUUGUUUUUUCUAAUUGUUGUUGGGUCUAUUUUUUGCUAAUUUUGUCAUCAGAGCCUUAAUUCAUUAAGUGAUUUUUUGAAUUAACCAAAGAGAAAGCCACAACCUGAGCUAGGGACCUUGAUCUAGUCCAUAUCAUGGAUGAACUAAUACCAUUUACGUUUACUAGUUUCACUAAACACAGGGUUAGCUAGAAUCAGAACUUAAGUAGAGGCAAAUGAGUUGUGGAAACUGUUGGUGACUGAAGUUUUUUGUAUUGGACAGAUUAUUAAGUGCCAUGGCUCAGAGUAGGAGUCAUGAGGGAAGAAAACAGGAAGUGUAACAUGAGCUCCCUCUUUUUCUGUCUCGUAAGCAAACAAUGAACUGAACUUUAUUUUACCAUAUAUUUAUCAUUGAUAGUUUGAUACCAUUUUUAUUUUUCUUUUGUUAUGAUAGUUUGCUUGCUUUGUGAGUAUUUGUGUUAUUAUUUCUGGCAGAGUUGAGAGUUUAAUUGAGCACCAAGAUGAGUGCAAUAUCCAGGGAAUUUUACCUGUUAGGUCCGAUACGAGGUUAAUUAAGCUAAAAGGGGGGGUUGAAUAGCUUAAUCACCAAUUUAAAAAUUUAUGCGGUGUAAUAAAAAGUUUAUCCCCUUUUUAAAACUUGUAUCGAGAGAUGAGCAGUAUAUAUGUGCGGAAGCAAAGAGCAAAGAAAGUAAAGUACCACACACAAGGAUUUAUCCUGGUUCGCGGUGGCUAACUCAACCGAUGGAGUCCACUCACCCCUACUCCAGUCCCCGAGCUCCUCCCCGGACUCGAGAUUUUCUCUACUAUAAAGAUACUCCUUUACAGUAGGCGGAGAAGCCUUUACAAAUAUAUAUCUUGGAGCGUAACUUCCCGUUACCUCCUCACUAUAAAUGUAAACUUACAAGACUCGUCUUGGAGCGUAACUCCCCGUCACCUCCUCAAAGUCGUUGUACCCCGGGUGUAGUCUUUGAACUUCUAAACUUUUGCGGGUCUUGGACAAAGGUCUUAGGUCUUGGGUCUUUCCUCUUCCUCACGGUGCGAAGACGACUAACUCCCCGUUAGCACGCCUAGGACUUGGGUCUUGAAACGAAGAUCACCUCACUUCACUUUUCCUCACUACAAAAUUCAGAAAACAAUAUCUACGACAAAUAACUUGGGUUUUAUAAAAAGGGUUUUGGACUAGAAAUGUCUAGGCCGAGUGUAGUAAUAUUCAACAAUGAAUAUUUAUAACUUGUAUACUUUUCGAGUGAUAAAUAUUAAAUCGAAGUAUACGUUAUAUCUUACUCCAAAAAUAAAUAAUAUAUGUGUGGAGUAAAAGUAUUCUUUCUUUGAUAAAUAUACGAUCUUGAAGAAUCAAAGAAUACUUGUAUUUAUAAACUCCGUGUAGAUCGAAUAAAUUAUAUUCGGAGUUUUAAGUCUAUUUAGGCUCGAUGGCACAAGACUUAUAUUAUUACUUCGUUAUAUGAAAAUACGUCUAUUUUCGAAGUAAUAUAAUCGAGAAGUCCUUGCUUCUUUUCAAUAUAACUCUUCUCUUUUAUAGUCUUUUGAGACUAAAUCAAAUCAAUUAAAGUUUGUAGAGAGAGUUGAGAGUUUCUUUAACUUUAGCACAAGCCAAUAUAAAUUCCGCAAAACCAACAAUACAAUAUUUAUACACUUAUAAUAAUAACAACUAUAAAGUGCAGAAAGUAUAUAAAUACGUAUAGUAGGCCUAUCCGGUUAUUGUUCCCACGGAGCGCUAAAGGGGCUAGUAGGAUGUUAACCAGGCAACAAUAACAAGUAAAGUUAAUUGCGGAAAGUUAGAUUAGAUUAGUUGGCAAGAUAAGUGCUAAAUAAACGUUAAAGAAAUAACUAACUAUUUAGAUCGUUUCCUUCCCAACGGAACACAAGGUGCUAGUAGGGAAUUAGAUCAAGCUUUACUAAAUCGAUUUGACCGUCGUCAAAUAUAAUCCUCUUUUUCGAGGUGUAUUACGAAACUUUAGUUCGUAUACAAAAUAAUACGAAUCGAUGUUCGUUUAUGUAUUAUAUAUUUGAGAGAAUAUUAGAUCGUACGAUAUAAAAGUUGUUCUUGUAUAAUAAAUCUCAAAUAUAUCACGAAACUUUAGUUCGUUUGAAUAUUUCGAAUAACACGAAUCUUUAGUUCGUGUAUUUAAUAUAUUCGAAACAAGAAAUCUCUUUUAUUAGAGAUAUGAGAUGAAGAGCUUUUGUAGAGAGUAGAUCGAUGAUAAUAACGAGCUCUUGUAUAAAUAAAAUGGUCGGUUAAGACACGGAUUUAUGAAGCUAAAAAUAUAACCACUUACGAGAACGAUCGGAAAGUUCGCCGGAAAAAUUCGCCGGAGGUUCGGUAGGACUAUAAGCACACGGACGAAUUUGGGCAGCCCUUCGGGAGGCAAGAUGGUAGUGGUUAAAGAGCUAAAGUGGUGAGACAAAGCUUGGUUGGAUGAACAAAAGCUUGUAUAACUAAAACCUUGUGUAUAUAUGUAUAUAUAUAUAAGAAUGGAGGUUUUAGAGAAGAAGUAUUUGUAGAGAGUGUUUGUAGAUGAAAGAGAGAGUGUAUACUUCAAAAAUCUCAGCACUUCUAUGGCUUUUAGCUUGAGAAAAAUGGGUGGGGGUGGGGGUUUAUUUAUAGGAGGGGUUAGGUAGAAUGGAGGGUUAGGAUUAAAUGUAAGUGUAUGGUGAGAUUGAGAGAGAUGUGGUCAAUUGUGAGCCAAGUUUGUUGGUUGGUGGAGAAUUCAAGCAUGUGCCACUAUUCUCAUCAGAUUUGAAUUAAUAUUAAACAAUAGAAACGCUUCGGUUUUGCAAUUAAAUGCGUAUCACGUAUCGUUUAAUAAAUAUGACGAAUUUCCGAAAGUCUUCAAUAAAUUCAACCAAAAAUAUGAUAAAUCUCCAAAUAUUGGUAAAUGAAAUUCUGUGAAGUUUGGUGAUUUUUGGUCAACUCUAACUUGGUCAAACGCUCACUCGAAGUACGGAACGACAGAUAGAAAAACGCUACGAAACGAAAGUUUUCGAAAAAUUACAAAACUUUUACCUAACAUGCCUAUACAUAUAAAAAUGACAUCCCCAAAGUUUCAAGUCAUUCUAGCAAGUAGAAGUAUUUUAUCCGGAAUUAAAACGAUAAAAACCGCUUUUCGGGAUACGAUAAAAUACGAAAAUUCUUUUGACAAUUUGUAAAAGGAAUUAGACAAAGCUUUUGACUUGAAUAAAUACUAUAAAUAUAUUCCCUCAAAGAUAAAAUAGUUUGGAGUGUUGGGAAGUAUAUUUGAGUAUUUAAAAUAAUUUCCUUUGAUAAAUAAGGAAAUAUAUGAAAACCUGAAAAAUUAGUAUUUGGUCAAAACGAGUAGACCCUUGACUAAUUUUUGAAACCAAAAUACUUAGAAUAUUAAGAUUCAUGAUAAAUCAUGAUUUUGAUAAUUUUGGAAAGCAUUCUAAGUAUUAAAAUAUUUUUCUCCGAAAAAUAGGUAAUUUGAGAGACCGAAGAGAAAAUAUUUCACAAGGUUGCAAAAACGGAUAUUAAUAUUUGUAAGGCCAAAUAUUAAUGAAUUUGAGAGACCAAAGAGAAAAUAUUUCACAAGGUUGCAAAAACGGAUAUUAAUAUUUGUAAGGCCAAAUAUUAAUAAGAUGAGAGGGUAAAUCUUUCUUUUGGAUAAAAAAAUGAUUUUUGGAAAGGAAGAUUUAUUUUUGAGUAAUUAAAGUUAAUUUAUCCCUUAAAAUAAGAAAUUGAUAAAAUAGGGAAUAAAUCACUUUAAAUACUAGAUUUUGAAAAUAAUGUUACAUGAAGCUUUUAAAGAAUAUCAACUUGUGAAAAUCCUUUUUCCAUCUUCAUGUCAAUUUGAUUUUGCAAUAGUAAGAGAGAGAAAAUCGUAGAAUGGCGAUAUUCCUCAGCAUGGAUAUUGCACAGAAAAUCUUAAAAAUUUUGACACGGAAAUCAUUUUUCAAAUCUCUUGCUAAAAUUAACCUUUCACUUAGAAAUAAUCAUUUAAAUUAAAUGUCCUAUUGGGAGGAUCUAGGUGAUUUAAAUUUUACGUUUAUUUAAUAAAUACCAAAAUAAAUCAAUAUCGAAGAUAUCCUUUCAAUCUUCCCCUUUUUGGUAUUUAUCAAACAAACCUAAAAUUUAAAUUUUACAAGUGUGUGCUUCCCCUUGAUGUAUGCAUGAAUUUAUGAAAAAAAUAUUUUUCACAUAACAUAUAAAGAGUUUAGGAAGUAUACUUGUAAUCCUCGCAAUAAGCGUAUCGAGAAGUCCUUUGAUUAUUUCCUGAAAAAAAAAUGAUUAGUAGAGUUUUUGAAAGAUUUGAUGUUCUCACAUUUUUGUAUUGGAUUGUGCAUUUUAAAAAACUUUAUAUGCACGUCUUCUUUCCUUUUUUUUUUAUACUAAAAUUUUAAUUUUGGAUCGUGCAAAAGAAAAUGGUACUCAAAAGAAAAUGGUACUGUACUUGCACGUCUUCUUCCCCUUUUGGUUGAUAAAAACCAAAAAUAAUUUAAAAGAGGUUAGCUUCCCCUUAAUUUUGCACUAGCAUUCUCUUUUUGAGAAUAUAUAUAGAUAGUGUAUCCUUUUAAAAUAGAGAAGAAGUAUGAGGAUUUUAUUGUCCUUUUUAUUUACAAGUCAUUUGCAUUUUUGAAAUAUAGUAGCUAGUUGUGCAAUGUGCUCGAAAUAGUUCGUUUUGAACUAAUUUAUCGGGUCGAAGCUUUUGGGUGGAUUUCAUAUUCUUUUAGCUUCUUGACUUCAUUUUAUAUUGGAAAAUGAGUAUUAACUUUUCUUUUUGUCUCAAAAAUCAUAUAAUUUUGACUUUCUUUGAGUCAAGGAGGAGGAAUCGAUUUUUGAAUUCUUUUGAAUAAUCGAGAUGAAAGGCUACAGUUUUCCUUUCACUUUUCUUUUUAUUUCGAAAAGUAGUAUCACAUUGGGACUAAUAUUGGUGUUUAGUCGAAGAACUUGUAAUUCAAAGAUAUUCUUUUAAACCUUUAAAUUAUAAAAGAAUCGAGAAUUCAUUUGUAUAAAUCGAAUUCAAUAUCUUUCGAACAGAUUUCAUAGAAUCGAAAGCAGCAUAUCGAUUUGAAUUUUCAAUUCAUAUGUCAAACUUGGACAUAAAGAGUACAAAUGAAAUGUCAAAAUUGGACAUUUUAUAUUAAGAUAAUAAAUACAUAUGAAUAAUUUUGACUGUCAAUCUUGGACACAAAAUUUAAAUAGUCCUAACACCUUCAAAUUUGGAAAAAACGUUGCCCAAAAUCCAAUGGCAACAUAAAUUGCAGUUUUAGCAACUAAUUUGGGGUGUUGGGAUAGACCAUAUAUGGUGUAGUGUAAGUACAUAUCAUUGUACGAACCAAUAUGUGUGGUCAAAAAUUAUGGUUUGCAGUUUUGAGAGUUAGAUUUUCAAAGUUAGAACUCCAGCGACCAAUUCUCCGUUAUUCCUCAUCUUCUUCACUGCAUUAAUUUUUUUAAGAAGAAUUUAUAUUUUACUAAUUUUGGACGAUUACCAAAGCUGACAUCAAAUAUGACACAAUAAUUAAUAUCACAAUACUCAUCUUACACAAUAACAAAGUCUUCAUAUUUUGGAAUAAUUGUUGCUCCAAUAUUAGUUUAUGUAUUAAUAGUUAUGAACAUUGGGCUAUAAAUAAUUCUUAUGUGUAUCAUUCUACUAAUAUUUUUCAAUUAGAUUUAAGAAUUUAAUAUUCAAUAUGUUAAGUCAAUAUUAGUUUAGCUCAUUUCUAUUUCACAAUCAGAUUAUAAUUAGGCUGGAUAUCAGUAUUUGAACAAUUCUUUGUUUUUCGUUAAAAGAAUAAAUUUCGCAAUGAAACAUUUUAGGAUUUUUAUUAGACACUAUAGCAUCGAUCACAUAUAUAAGUUACUCACACCUUAGACAGACACAUUACACAAAUGUCUAGUCCAGAACACAUCAUCAACACAUCUCACUUCAUUUUAGCGGACGCCUUUUUUCCUGUUUUUUCGUUUCGGGGCUUAUCGGAAUCAAGCCCCCAAGCACACCCUUAUAUAAUCAUGUAUAAAAACUCAAAAAUUCGCAGCAGGAACCAGAGCCCCUUGUGUAUGAAACCUCCAUGCAAACACAUAAUCCCUCGAUUCACACCUCAGCCUCACAGCCUCCCCUGAAGUAGUGAUGGAGCUUUUGUACUCACUGUUCCCCCACUCUAUAACCACCAAGCAAAAAUUCACCCCUUUGGAUGAUGAAGCAAGCUCAGAAACCACAGAUUCAGGGAUCUUUAGGGUUACUUCACCGCAAAUUCUGUUGCAUGCAGUGAUUGAUUCGAGCCAGUUGCACUCUGGCUGUCCUAUUAAGCGCUUAUAAGCCGAAUUGGCGAGCCUGACUUGGUUUUUUGAGUCAGAGAUUAGUACAGGUAGGGUUUGGGAUUCUAUUCCUUUCUCGAUUUCAUCGGCUGUAGAAUGACCCGGAUUAGUGAGUGCAGGGCUUAAGAGGGUGGAGUUUGGCUGGAUUAGGAUUGAUGAGGAAACGAGGCGAAUAGGCUUCGGGGUGAAGAGAUUGGGAGAUUGGUGUAAUUCAAGAUGCUUGACAAGAUUUUUCUCUACAGGAAUGAUCAUUUGAUUUGGAAUUUGAUUUGGAAUUGGAGAGGGGAGAUGAGCAGGCUUUGAUCUCUUGCAUGGGAGAGGAGGGGGGACCGAAGUCCUACCGCGCUUUCGGCCUCGAGUAGACCUGGAUUGCAGCUGAGGCCAGACGGUUCUGAGAUAAGCAGAGUCCCUGAUGUUUAGAGGCAUGCAUGAUGAAUCUGAGUUGGGAGAGGAAUUAGUACUAAUAUUGGUUUCAUGAUCAGGUGGUUUCGGUGCAAUAGGCCUGUACCUGGCCAGAAUCUGCGCUGUUUUGUUAGAGUCUAUGGUCUGCAUCAUCUUGUGGGAGAGAUAUGGGGGAGAGAGGGGGGGGGAGGGAGAGAGAUGGAGGAUGAAGCUGCAGAGGGGCUUAGGUUUGCACAAGAGGGGGUGAGUGUAUAUAAGAGACAGGGGGGCCAAUGAGAGAGAGGCAUGUUGAAAGGCCAAGAGGACAGAUGGAUUAGUGUAUGGUGGAUACGUGUAGAGAGUUUAGCAGAUGAGUCCAUCGAUAUGGCAAAAUCUACAUGCAGACUCACCAUUUGGAUGAAAUGCAUCCGUUUUCUGUACAUAUCUGUAUUCUAUGAAGUACUAGAUUUUACAGUGGAAAAGCUUUGGUUCAGUAACGGUAAAAGUCUUGCAGGACAAAAUAAAUUUAGAAGCUAUUUGGAAACGUACAUUUCAUUUCAAACGAUGGAUUUCAAAUGGCAACAUUUGAGUUGUCAUUUUAAGUUCUCAUAUUUUUAUCAAUAUUUGAACGUGUAGUUUUUAAGAAAUCUCAAUCUAAAUUCCCAAAUAGGUUAUUUGAUUAAAUUCUGAAUUUGAAAUCUAGAUUCCCAAACCGGUGUUAUUUGAAAAAUUGUAAAAUUCGAAGUUAGACUUGCAUGAGUUCGCUUAUAUCAAACUCCACCAAACACUUCUUACUCCACCAAACACUUCUUAUACAACUAGAGUUCAUAUAUGACAAUGAACGGUGUGAAAUAUAUAAAUGAUUAAAUAAGUAACUGAUCACAUCAUAAAACAAUGAACGGUGUAAUGUUUAUAAAAAAAACGAUAAAUAGAGCGUAUAUAAUUGAUUCAUAAUCUUGAAUCAUAUGAGUUUAUUUAGGAAAUACGUUGAUUGUCCAAUCUAAUAUCAAUUUUGUUAUAUAAUCGAUAAAAAAAACGAUGUUUUAAUAAAAUGACAAAUAUUAGGCGGAUUAAAAUUUUUUUUUGUUUGAAUCCUGUUAAAAUUCCUCCAUCUAGAACAAUAUUAAUCGGAUGAGUACUAUCGUAUAAUUUUGUACCGACUAAAUUCACAAGUCGGAGAUAUGCGAUUCAAACUGUGGACAUCCCUAGCACGAUAAACCGUAAGCGGCUAAAAUUCAUUUAAUCAUACUUUAGAUAAAGUCAUGUUAAUUUCUUAUUUUGAUGCAGGAUAAAUCCGCUAAUAUUCAUUGUCACAUAUCAAUUGAGUUAUACUAAUUUCUCAUUUUUAUCAUUUAGCAGACAUUAAAAUUGACCAUCUUUAAUCAAUUUACUUCUCCAUUAAAAAUAUUAAAUUUUACGUAUACAUGACAUCCUUUUAAUCAUGCAAGUAUUUAUAUAAAACAAAAUUGAUAGCAAAGUAAUUACUUUAAAUUUUAAAUACAUGAACAAUCCUUAAGUGAUUGUUGUGAAAAUCUUGUAAUAAAAUAUGGUAGAAAAAAUUUAGAUGGAAUAUUUUAAUCUGUGGGUGGAUAAAAAUCUAAAAUUAAUCACUUUUUAUUAUAAAAAUAUAAUUUAUUAUCACACCAAUCGCUUAUAGUAUCCAGACCCGACCUUCCAAAAUAUCCAUAUUCCUGAUAACAUGAAUCAACCACAUAGAAGAUUUCCGACCACGUCUUAUCGAUAUGACUACAUGAGUACGUGACCAGAAGCGGACCUAGGACACCAAAGUUUAAGAUGACGCUAAACAAAUUUUUGAAAAACACUUAUAUAUUUUUAAAUUUUGGGGAGAUAUUUUUAUAAUUUUACAAAAUUUAAAAUGAUGAAAAAAUGUAAAAAAAUUUAGAGGAGACACGUGUCCCCGUACCUCUUCCUAAAUCUGUCCAUGUAGUCCUGUACGAGUGACAACAAGUUUUUUAAGGGUCGUUUGGUUCGACGAGUGGUAUCGGGUUGAAAUGAGGAAUCGGGUUAAGCUGGUAUGGGUUUGAGGUAUUAUAUCUGAUAUCAUGUGUUUGGUUGAGUGCUGAAAUCAAUAUAUACAUAUUUUGUGAAAAUCAAGUUAUUAAUUUAUAUUAAUUGAAAAAAUUAAUAAAAUUAUUAUUGUUAUAUAUUUUUGCAUCAUUGAUUUAAUUUUGUAUAAAAUAUUAAUAUUUGAUUACUUAAAUAGAGACAAAAAAAUUAAAAAUAAAUGGAUUCUGAUACCUCCAUCUCAUACCCACCUCCCUACCUAGAUAUCAAAAACUCAUAGCAUAGGGAUUUAAGGUAUGGGUUUGAGAUUAUAUUUUCACCAACCAAACAUCAAGUAUGAGUUUGGAAAGGACAAACCUCAUAUCCGAUUCCACAUACCAUGAACCAAACGACCCCUUAGAACGCUUAUAAUUUUAUUCAUAUUUUCGUGAUGAAUACCUUCAUACACAUUUAACUUUAAUACAAGAAGUAGAAAUUUUUUAUCUAAAUUUCUGAUCACGAGUUCGAAUAAUUUCAACAUGCAAAAAGAUCCGAAACCUCCCGACAGAAUACUUGAAUCACGUUCGUCAUAAAGAAAGAAAACAAGGGGCGAGAGUUUGCGUUGUCUUUGCAUGCAUGCUGACACCUAUCACUCUAUCACUAUGAGUAUGAGACGCUGCCGCUUAUAUUUACUAUUUUACCCCUACCUACGUUACGGUAACGCUUCUAAACGGAUGGCUGAUACGAGCCUUUGGUUCAGAUUUCAGAAUGAUGACUUACGUGUCAAACAUAGAACACACGUGGCGUUUCUUAUAGGUUGUACUCCCUCCGUCCCAGUCAUUUGUAUACAAAUAGACACGGAGACCAAUAAAUUAGGUAAAAUAUGAGUAAAGUUAGAUGAAAAAUGUGUAGGAGACCAAUAAAUUAGGUAAAAUAUGAGUAAAGUUAGAUGAAAAAUGUGUAGGAGACCAAUAAAUUAGGUAAAAUAUGAGUAAAGUUAGAUGAAAAAUGUGUAGGAGACCAAUAAAUUAGGUAAAAUAUGAGUAAAGUUAGAUGAAAAAUGUGUAGAGUGAUGGGACUCAUUAAUAUUUAAUAAUAGAUUUGAGAUAGUGGAGGAAAGUAGUGGGUGUAAUAGUGUUUAUAUUAUUAUAGAAUAGAGAUAGUGGAAGAAAGUAGUUGGUUGUAAUGAUAUUUUAUAUUAUAAAAAUUUACUACUUUUGGAAUGUAUACAAUUGAUGGACGUCCCAAAAAAGAAAUGGUAUACAAUUCACUGGGACGGAGGAAGUAUGUAGCAGCGGCGAAGUUUUUUUUGACUCGAGUACACUGCACUACUGCAGGAUAUGAGCGACUGAGCGUAAUUUAUGAGAAUUUUGUAACGGAUCCUCAAUUUCUGCCGCAAUUAAUCAUGUAGUUGUGCAAUUUAUUUUUAAAAUUUUAGUUUUCUGAAUUAAAGUUGGGAUGUUAUAUUUUUAUAGAAAAAAAGAAAAUCUCAAAAAUAAAUUUCAAAAAUAAGUUACAAAACUAUAUUAUACAAGAGCAUUGAAAUACGUGUGAAGCAGUUAAAAAAAACGUAUAGAAUUAAAUGAGACAGAAGGAGUAAUUUUCUUUUUAUAGUUUUUCUUACAGAUAUCAAAUCUAGACUUUUUUUAAAAAAACUUGCUAUAAUUUUCAAAUAAAAUCAUAAAAAUAAUAAUUUUCAAAUAAAAUUUGUAUUAAUAUCAUUUUCUGAAAUAUUUUUUUUAUCAAAAUACCAAAUUGAAUUUACAACCGUAUCCGUUAAUUGUAUCAACCAUAUAUACAGCUACGAAGACAACUUAAAAAUUGUUUGAAAUUAUAUAUAAUUGGAUAAAAAAUUAUAAUUGAUUGCAAAGGUCGCGAAAAUGAGUACCCUCAUGGGCUUGUACUAAUAUCACAAAAAUAAUAAGAAAAUUAAUUUAAUAAAAAACAGAAUACAAAGUUGUAUUUAAUUGCAUUAGGUUAAAAGCUAUUUUUGAAAAUAUUUUCAAAAAAUAGUAAAAUUAAAAAUAUAAUUUUAAAAUAAUAUUUUUUAUCAUUAAAAAACGUAAUAGUUAUGUAAAUAUUCAGUGCUUUUUUGGUUGAAUAUAUGAAAAAAAUAAUUUACUCGAGAAAGUUAUACUCCCCUUCCUUAAAAAACUACCUGAGAAGUCCAAUAAAAUUGGUUGGUUAGACAGAAGUGAGUUUUAUACUUUAUUUUGUUUAACUAAAUUAUACAUUUAUUUGACUUAAUCAAUAUUUUCCCAUAAUUCAUCUUCCUUAUUGUAACACAAAUCUAAUAUAUUUUAUAUAAAAUCUUAACCAAAUUAAUUAUUUAAAUUUAUUCGUGAUUAUAGAUUAUAUUAUAUAUAUAUAUAUAUAUAUAUAUAUAUAUGAUUUUGACAAUAUUAAUGUGUUAUUAUUUUCUCGAUAAUAUUUUAUUAAAUUAAAAGAAGAUUUUUAAUGAAGAAAUAUAAUUCAACUAUAGUAUUUUGAGUUACAUAUUAUAACAAUAAUAAUAUAAUUUUUAGAUUUUUUAAAUUCAACUAAUUGUUUCUAAAAAGCUUACUUCAUUCUAAUCUCGUUAUAGUUUACCCAAAUGAACGAACCACUUAUUUUCAGCGUAAACGAUUAAUAUCAUAUUGUAUUAUAAUAUUAUUUCAUAUACAUAUUAAAAUUAAAUAAUUAUUUUAUGGAAAGGAAACGAAGCUAACGAUAUUUUAUUAUCCAGGAAAUAAUUAUUUAAUUAUUUGAACAACAAGUUUAUAAUUAAUUAAACAAAUUAUUAAAUAAAUAGCAAUAUAUAUNNNNNNNNNNNNNNNNNNNNNNNNNNNNNNNNNNNNNNNNNNNNNNNNNAUAUAUAUAUAUAUAUAUAUAUAUAUAUAUAUAUAUAUAUAUAAAUUAUAAAAUAAAAGACAAUUAUAAUUAUUUUAUUAUUUGUUCAAAAUAUAAUAAGAAUUUUAUUUACAAAAAUAUUCUAUAUUUUUUUAAAACAAAAAAAGAAAUUCUAUAUUUAAUAAUUAUAAUUGAGGCCCAUUGAUAUUAGCCAAAAAACAAGCUCUAUAUUUUGACUUUUUAGUCUAAACAACAAGUUCUUUAAUUAUUUGAACAAAUUACGAAAUAAAUAGGAUAAACUAUACAUCACUCCAUUUAUAAAUUGAGUGUCAUACAAUUAUCAUGUUAUCAUAUAAUAUUAUUUUAUUUUAAUUAUGUCUGAAACUGCAAAUUAUGUUUAGUAUAUGUAAGCAUAAAAAUGAACAUCUAUUUCAAAGUUUAAAUUUCUAGAGUCUGUGAUGAUGUGAUGAAUUAUAUUGUAAAUAAAAUUUGAUUUUAUUUUAUUAUAAACAAUAAUAAUUAAAGUCACAACUCUACCCGAUAGAUACAACAUGGAAAAUAUGAUUCACGCAGAGCUCUAUUAGCAGGUGUCAAAUGUUGAUCAUCAAUCACUCUUCGCUGAACUCUUCUGUGUGCGGCGUUAAUCCGUCCACCACAACCUCCAUACAUGAUGUGGCCGGCCGGCAGAAGGUGAUUGUUGCGAGGAUGCUUGGCAACGACGCACGUCGCCACCUCAGCUCCGUCUUGACUCCCGAUCAUCACUCUGGUGACAAGGUUAUUGUGCAUGCCACCGAGCAUGAGCUCGUAGUGGUAGAAAAAACUUGCGCCAAGUAGAUGAGCAAGUGGUGGUCCUAUUUGGCGAGAUUGAGCUCUUGCACCUGAAUUAUGAUUAUUAACAUCAUGAGUUUUAUUAUAUUAUAGGAAUAACAUCGAUUAAGAAUGAUAUUAUUAAUAUAUUAGUUUAAUCCUAUUUCUCAAUCGGUCUAUUUGGUGCUAUGUAAUUGUUAUGUAUAUAUUCACUUAUCACAAUCGAUCUAUUUGGUGCUAUGUAAUUGUUAUGUAUAUAUUCACUUAUCACAAUCGAUCUAUUUGGUGCUAUGUAAUUGUUAUGUAUAUAUUCACUUAUCACAAUUAUCAUGCCAAAAUAAAAAGAUUGUGACUUGAUAAGAUAAAAUUAGCAUAAUAAUUGCAUUUUUCCUCUUUGUCAAUAAUACUUGCAUGUGCAUUCUUCUUUAACAUGCGCAUAUUGUCAAUAAUAUUUUCAUACAUUUUUGUCGCAGAUUGUGAUAUACAGACUAUCUUAAAGACAAUAGUUUUUAUUCCGGCAGUUAUAAAAUUUUUACAAUUUCUUUUCAUAAAAAUAAAAUAAAAUUUGUGUACGAUAAAUGCUAGACGUUUGAUUGCAAAUUCCUAAUGCUGACAUUUUGUUUCAAAAUUUUUACAAAUGACGUGAUAGAUGAAUAACUAGUUAUUUUUCAAAUAAUGAAACAACCAUAUUCUUGAUUUUAAUUAGUAUUGUUAGUAGUAUGUCAAAAUUGGAAACAAUUAUUCAAUAAAUAACAUCAUGCAUUUUAAAACUUUAUCUGCAACAUUUACUAUUUUGUUUAUAAAAAUUAUUUUUCAGCAAAAUCAUCAAUAUAUGAAACCAAUAUCUGUAUCUUUUUGUAUUCAUCAUCACUUAAAUCAUCUCUUUACAUUUACCGUAAGUUAUCCUCAUUCAUGAUAUUUUCUUUCUCACGCGUUAUUUUGAAACAUACACACAGCUAAUUGACAAAGGUAUCACCAUAUUUACAGAUUAUAGGAAAAAAUUAUAUACAAAUCAAUACUACUUUUAACAUGAUGUGUAAAGUUUUGACGAGGCUUAGGUAAGAUGAUGGCGUGAGAUUUACAGGAGUACUAUUUCUUGAACUCAUGUGAAGAUUUUUAGGACGGUUAAGUAUUGUCUUUGAACUCAUCAUGUGAAGAUCCUUGAUAAUUUGAUUGGAGUCUAAUAAGAUUCUAAAAAAUUCGAGAUAGAUUAAAUAGGAUCAAGAUUAGACUCCGAAUAAGUGAUAUGAUUCUGGAUGGAUGAUUUUUUUUAUUUAUUUAAUAUAAUACUCUACUAGUUUCUCUUGAAUAUAGUGAUUUGUAUAUGAUUAUUGAUCAAUUUAUAUAUAUACUUAAUACUAGAUUUUGUGGAAUUUUAAUAAAAUACAUAUAUAUGAACUUGUUCGUGAAUAUUCAAUCAAACUACCGUGCAUUGUGGAAUUUAUGAAUUUGUUCCCUGAAUAUCCAAUCGAGAAGUUUUGGUCCUUUUGGAUUUAGAAAUCCUACUAAAAUAAAAAUGAAUAUAAAUUAAGGAUCCAGAAAUAUGCUACUCAUUCACAAAGAAAAAUACUUCAAACGGCAGCCAAAUUGCGGGAGGUCUGACUCCCCACAUGUGCGUGUGUAAUCAAUUAGCAAAAAAUAAUUCGAAAAAGAAUUCAGGAAUUAACUUUCAAACUCCGUCAAUCCAAAUACCCAUGUACAUCCAUAUUUCACAUACAGAAAAGACCGUACCUAUACAUUUCUCACACAAAUUCUCAAGAACCAACGCCACCGCAUCACCGCAUCAUUUCCUCCCUUUCCCCGUCCUCCUCCGGCCACCGCAGCUCCUCGCGCCACCGUAAAAUUUCUCAGAGAUCAAUGGCUUGUCAUCCUCCCCAUCUUCAUCUUCACAAGUUCCAAUCCUAACGCAAGAACACCGAUCCAACGACGCGAAAAAAAGAGCCGCGACACCGUCAACAAGCCACAUGGCUACACCCUCGAGCUUUCGCGUCCCGGAGGAUCGAACCCGGGGCUCUAGCGGAUCUGCAUGGGCUCUGUGGUUGAAGAAUGAAGCACAAGCUGUCAUUGAGUGAGAGAUCCAAGCAUUGGUGACAAGAACAACAAUAAUUUGUACAAGUUUAAUGGGCUUUUAAAAUGUCGCAUGUUGCUGUCAAUGAUUAUAGUAGUGUGGAUUUCAAGUUUUGCCCUUGGGCUUUUCUGAAUUUACAAAGGUGAAAUGUGUAUCAGACAAAUGUAUAUUACAAAAGACUUUGGACAAGAACUGUCAGUUUUGUCCGAGAUCGUCAAUCUUGUCUUCCACUUAUAUAUUCUAGUACUACCAUUUAAAUUGUCCAUUUCUGUGGCACCGAAUUUGUAAUAGUUUAGAUGUUCGGUGGAAUCACUAUAGCAUGACUCGAGC